rnacentral:lncRNA from 1 species
UUUGAUCAUCUAACUAUUAAUUCUUUCAAUUUAGUCACUAUAUUUUUCGAAAUUAAAUAUUUUAGUCACUCUUAGUUGAUGUGGACUUUUUUAUUGGCUUAGUAACAAAAUUAGCCCUCUAAUGUUUACGCAUUCUAUCAAUUUGAUCCUAAAUAUAAAAAAAUUAACAAAUUUAGCUCUUAAUGUUUACAAAAUUUGUCAUUUUAGUUAUAACUCUAAAAAAUUUCAAUAAAUGUAAUCCUCAACAUUUACAAAAUCUAUCAAUUUAGUCCUAACUCUAAAAAUUUAAAAAAUACAUAUAUAUUUUAAAAAAAUUUAAAAUCCAUACAAUGACCAUGAAUUGUGAGCAGAUUCAAGCUUUUAGCCCGACUUUGCCCAAAUUCCACCGGUAGAAUCUUCUUCCCAAAGUUUAUCUUGUUUCGAAUAUUGUUUUACUUCAAAGGGUGAUUUUGAAAUUUUUAUGGUAUUUUAUUCACAAGAGCUGAUAUAAGAAGUGUGUGUACCAAAGCUGGAAUGUACGCUAUUCAGUCUCGAAGAAAAACGGUGAAAGAAAAAGAUUUCCUUGAUGCAGUGAACAAAGUCAUAAAAGGAUAUAAAAAAAAACAUGGUUUACAAUUAAACCCAGAAAUUGGUGAGAACAUUUUUAUUUGUAGUUCCCAAACUCCUAUAACACAUGCAUUUGAUUCUAUCACAAUAUAUAUUCACCAUUUUUAAAAUUGUUUUUGAGUUGUUUAAAUGGGAAUUGAAUAUAUUUUUAAUUUUUAGAGUUAGGACUAAAUUGAUAGAUUUUUGUAAAUAUUGAAGGCUAAAUUUAUUGAAUUUUUAGAAUUAGAACCAAAACGACAAAUUUUGUAAACAUUGAAGGUUAAAUUUGUUGAAUUUUUAUAUUUAGGAUUAAAUUGAUAGAAUGUGUAAAUAUUAAAGGGAUAAUUUUAUUACCAGACCAAUAAAUAAAGCCCACAUCAGUUCAGAGUAAUUAAAAUAUUUAAUUUCGAAAAGUUUAAUGACUAAACUGAAAAAAUUAAUAGUUGGAUGAUCAAAAUAAAACGAAAGGAACUAUUUUUAUAGUUUACUCAUGAAAAAAAUAAUGUUCAGAAUAGAUUUAAGGUUGUAUGUAAUUAUUUAAGAAUAAAAUAUAAUGGAUGGGCUAAUACACAUUUUAAAAAGUAUAAAGACUAAUUUAUCUAUUUUUUAAUAGAGGGUCGAAAUGCAAUCCACCCUAAAUACAGAGACUUCUCCGAUACUUUUACCAUAUUACGUAUAAUAAAUUAAUAAACGUUACAGUUGGCGGCCAAAAUACCAAAAAAAGCCAAUUUUUUUUAAAUUUACCGAAAUGGGCUCAAUAUUUUAUUAUUUACCGGAAUGGGCCUUUUUUCCCUAAAUCGCGUCCACGUCAGCACGAUGUCAGGGGAUAUGUCAGCAAAUCGCGUCCACGUCAGCGCGAUUUGCUGACAUGGGAAGAGAGCGCGGCCUUGAAAGCACGGCCUUGAAAGCACGAUUUGUGUCCACUUCAGCAAAACGCGCUGACGUGGACGCAAUUUCGCGGUGUUUCUCACGUUAGGUUUUUUAGGGUUUCUCAAAGUUUUAGGGCUUCGGAGAGAAAUUAAUUAAUUAAUUAAAAUUAAAUUAUGUGGACGCGAAGAAUUUGUGAAAUCGCGCCCUCCUGGACGCGCUUUUGCUACAGUUGGUCCUGGAAGAAAUAAUUUCGAGUUAACGUUUCUAAGAAAUAGUAUAAAAUCACUUCUACUAGGAUGCUUUAUGAGAAGAAUUUGUUAAAUCGCGCCCACGUGGACACGCUUUUCCUACAGUAGAUCCUGAAAAAAUUAUUUCGAGUUGACGUUUUUGAGCAAAUAGUAUAAAAAACGCUUCAAGCAGGAUGCUAUUUGAGAAGAAUUUUUGAAAUCGCGCCCUCGUGGACGCGCUUUUGCUACAGUUGGUCCUGGAAGAAAUAAUUUCGAGUUGACGUUUCUGAGCAAAUAGUAUAAAAAACGCUUCAAGCAGGAUGCUAUUUGAGAAGAAUUUCUGAAAUCGCGCCCUCGUGGACGCGCUUUUGCUACAGUUGGUCCUGGAAGAAAUAAUUUCGAGUUGACGUUUCUGAGUAAAUAGUAUAAAAACGCUUCAAGCAGGAUGCUAUUUGAGAAGAAUUUCUGAAAUCGUGCCCUCGUGGACGCACUUUUGCUACAGUUGGUCCUGGAAGAAAUAAUUUUGAGUUGACGUUUCUGAGCAAAUAGUAUAAAAUUGCUUCUACCAAGAUGCUUUAUGAGAAGAAUUUGUGAAAUCGCGCCCACAUGGACGCGCUUUUGCUACAGUAGUAUGUUUGGGCUGAGGCUAUAAAUGAGGUAAAAAAUGUUCUCAGAAUGCAUAAGUAACAGCAGAAACAAUUUGGAGAGGCUAAGAAGGUUAGAGUUUCAAAUAUGAGUGAACGUAUUAGUGCUGUUAUUUACUACGAUUGUGAGGUUUGCCACACCGAGAAUGGUGUUGUUUUUUUGUCGAAGAAUAUGGUGCGACUGGUUUUUAAACAGAACAUAGAUUUGACGGAACUUCAUAAAAGAAUUAGGCGUAAAAUUUUCAGAACGACGCCAAUGAAAGUUCUGUCUAUCACGUAUCGAUUUUGUUCUUCUGUUGAUCCGGUGACAUAUGACUCGUUCGACAUAAAAGGUGCUCGUAGCUUGGAGGCAAUGGUGCAGUAAGGUAGUUCAAGAAAUUAACAAGGCCAAGGCGAGGGCAAACACCAUGCACACAGUGUGUCACGAUCGAGACAAUUUAUGGUUUCACGUGACAGAGUUUGACAGACCGCACCAAGGUGUUGUUGGCGGGCAAUAUCGUGUACACUUGCGAAAUAGGACUUGUGACUGUGGGAUGUUUGAUGCACUUCAUUAUCCAUGCGCUCAUGUUAUUGCAGCUUGUCAGAAUCUCCGUCUGGAUCCGAUGAACUAUGUGGACGAAGUGUACAAAUUAGAAAACAUGUACAACGUCUGGAGACACGUUUUCCCACCGGUCCCAGAUGAACGUAAGUGGCCAUCCGUAUCUCUUGCUCCUUUUAAGUUGUGCGGAUGGUGUAGGAAUCCAGGUCAUACAAGCCGAUCAUGCCCUAAUCAGAAUAGUUGAAUGUAAUUGUAAAUAAAUUAUAUUUUUUUCAAUUAUUUAUUGAUAAUUGUAUUAAUUGUUAGUAACAGUCAAAACAUUUUUUCAAAUCUAACAUUAUGUGAAUGUAAAAAUAUUAACUGAUAAUUGUAUUAAUGGUUAGUAGAAUUCUUAAAUAAUAUCAAAAUAUUCAAACUAUUUGUACAAAUUAAUUAAUCUCAUGUUAUUACAUCAAAUAAUAUCAAAAUAACUCAAAAAAACUUCUAUUUUAUUACAUCAAAUAAACUUCUAUUUUAUUACAUCAAAUAAUAUCAAAAUAACUCAAAAAAAAAUUCUAUUUUAUUACAUAAAAUAAUAUCAAAAUAUUCAAAAUAUUUGUACAAAUAAAUUUAAAUACGACAAUCAAUGUCUAUGCCCAGGGGAUUCAGUGCCACAUGGCGACCGUCGACGGUUACGCGCUGGAUUCCUCCUUUGUCUAGCUUCCGGCGGCGGUUGUUGUUCCUCCGGCAGGGAUUCUGGUUCUUCCGGUACGGCAUCUGGUUAUCGGACUUGGGACGAUGAUCCACCUUCAAAGAAUAGUGUAUGUGGAAGUGUUUGCAUCACGAACGGUGACAGUGUUUGAAACCCAUACAUUAGUGGGGAUUGGUAAAAAGGAGAGCUCCCCGACAGCCCUCUUGUGAUCCUUCGUGCGCCGCUGGCCUAUACAUCAACGUCCACUCGACAUAAUAGGAAAUGGAACUGAACCGGGCAUUUGGCUCCAACCUGCCAUAGGACUCGAAAAAGGAUACAUAUAAGGGUUAUGAUACAUAUAAUGGCUAGAAAACACACCUGGCAUCAUCUGAAAAGGCGGUUGUGUGGGUAUCAUCGGUUGAACUGCUGCGUCGAGUGACUGUGUCGGUGCUCUCGUUGGGCCUGGUAAAUGAUGGAAAUAUCAAUUUUACCUAAUACUUACAUGUGCUUCCGACUGUUGGUCUAAUAGAAGCCGUAUAUCUUCAAGUUCCGUAGGUAAUCGAGCAUGACUUGCCGGAUGGUUCCACCUAAUUAAAUAAACUUUUAGCUUACUUUUAUUUUUAAAUAUCUACAUAAUAAUUGUAAACUCUAAAAUAAAAUUUACCUCGUUAUGAGUGGGAAUGUAUAUGGGUGGUCCACUCGAAGACUUAGAAAUGGAAAGCGAAACCGUGCCCAUGACUGCAGUAGUGACAGGCAGCCUCCGAUUUUUGCUCUCCUCAGUCGCAUCACCCCACACUUCUCCCGAUAUAAUGUGGCCAAGACGGCAGACCCUCAACUCAAUUCAUCGGCUGCUCUAAAAUCAACGAGUUUCAGCAGCCAUCUGAGAUGUACGCGGCUCUGUGACAAGUCCGGCAUCAGAUAACCUCCAAUUAACUAAAGAAUGUAUGCCCGAGCAUAUCAGAUUCUUUCUCUUUCGGUUGAAUCUUCAUCCGGAUUCGGGAAUGUGUCUCGUAACCAGCCCAUCUCGAUCUUACCUCCGUCCAUUUUCUCCGGAAUAGCGCCCAGAAGCUCGUAGCACACCGCUGGCCAAUCGCUAGAUUGGACAGACCCCGUGACUGGGUACCCGUCCACCGGCAAUCCCAAUUGCAGGCUGACGUCUUCCAAAGUAACAGUGCACUCUCCACAUGGAAGAUGGAAUGUAUGCGUCUUGGGUCUCCACCUCUCAAUCAACACACUGAUUAGUUUCGAGUCCACCUUGCAUCCCCGACCUACCGUCGCCACAUGCCAAAAACCCGCUUCCCGCAGGUAGUUCUCUACCACCGGUGAUGGAGGAGCAUGCAUAUUCCGGAUAUUGAAUUCCAAUACCCGAUCUACAGACUUUUAUAACAAAUAACAAAUUAAUAAUUAUCUAAAAAUGCAUAAAUAAAAAUUCUUAAAUAAUAUUUAAAAAUUAUAUUUAACGCUUACCAUUUUCAUUUGUUCCACCGAUAUGUGAUGAUUAUCAAGACGAGUCAAUUCUUCGGCCAUUGCUGAAAUCAUACAAAAUUUUAAGAUAUAAAUUUUUUUUAAAAAAAUAAUUUUUUUAAAAAUUAUUUAAAAAUAGGAAUUUAAGAGAAAUUUAAGAAGAACUUGAGAGCUAAUUGAAAUUAAAUAUGGAUUUGAGAGAAAUUUUGAAGGAAAUUGAGAGGAAAUUGAGAGGAAAUUUGAGAAAGGAUUAGUUUGUGAAAAAAAACAAAGGGGUGGGGGUAUUUAUAGUUUUUAUUUUACCGUUGGGAGGGGGCAACGGUCAAAAAUUUGACCGUUGCACUGUUCAUGCGAGGGUCAGAUCGCGGCCACGUUAGCGCGCUUUGCUGAUAUGGACACAAAUCGCGCUCCAGAGGACGCGAUUUGUUGCCAUGUCAGCAAAGCGCGCUGAUGUGGCCGCGAUUUCCUGGAACGUCCCCUGACAUCGCGCUGACGUGAAUGCGAUUUCGGGGAAAAGGGCCAAUUCCGGUAAAUAAUAAAAUACUGUGCCCAUUUCGAUAAAUUUAAAAAAGAAGAAGCUUUUUUUGAUAAAUUGCCCACGGUUGGCCACCUUACAUUUCCCUCAAAUAACAUUUUUUUUAUGACAAUAAUAUUUUUAUUUUUCAUUUUGCCGUUUAUUAUCUUUGAAAGUAACUACGAAUAUUUGCUCUUUUUUUUUUUGAAAGAAUUUGCUUUUAAGUUAUUUGAUAUAAUAUUUUAUAAUAUCAUUAUAUUUAAUAUACAUGUUAAUUUAUAUACUAUUUUUAAAUUUAGAGUAAAAAUAUUACUAUAUUCAUACAAUUUAAAAAUAUUCUUUUUUGCCAAAAUUUUUAAAUAUCUAAUAAAAUUAACUAAGUAAAAAUGAAAUAAUGAUGGCUUAACAUGUCAAAAAAGGUUUUUUUUUAUGGAAAAAAUGUAAAAGAAAUUAAUAAGAUGGGAAUGGGGAACUAGAACUAGAACGUGUCACAAGCUCAUAGGAUUUUACAUCUGAAGUGUAGGCCAGUGGGUCCCUUUAUUUUUCCAUCAUAAUUAUUAUAUGCAUGGACGCCACGUGGAUAGCAAUGGGAGGUUCCCACACUGGGUCAUAUCUGAAUAACGCGUAGAUGAUUACCAUCAUGUAUGUUCAAAAGCAAAAGAGAACAAAGAAUGAACGGCUUAAAGAUGAAGGAAAUAAAAAUAAUAUUUUUGAGAAAGGUUAAAUAUUUUUUAGGUUUGAAUUUCGGAAAAUUAUGAUAUUAAGGUUUGAUUUUUUUUUUCUAAAGUAAUCACUAAAUCGUAUUAAGAUAUGGAUUUAUGUUAUAGGCCAUAUAAAGAGCUCGUGACUAAAGCACACUUUGAUUUAGAGACUUAAGACCCAUCUACUUAAAUCCUGGUUAAAUUGUAAAUUGUCUAGUAAAUUGUAUUUUUAUCAGGAUAAUUAUUGUAAAUCCUGAAAGAAUUAUUUAUUAUAGAUAGGAACUAAUCUCAACUAUUGAUGUAAUUCGGUCUAUACCAUUAGAUCUAAAGGACCUCAACUAUAAAUAUAACCUUCUCCUUCAUUUGUAUUCAUUCUAUUAUUGAGUUAAAAGAAUACUUUUGAGAGUAUUCACUUAAACACUUGGUGUGCUAUUCUUUUCUUGCGACUUUUCUAUUUGAAUUAAAGUCUCUUUGUCUUAUUGAGUUGCUUUCACUUUAUUUUCGGUCAUUUAGAGAAUUUUCGAAAGUAUUCUCACUUUUUGAGAUUUGGACUAACUUAAAUGAAUUUGAAAUAAAGAAAUUGCCUAAGGCCGCGCAGUUUGCCAGAAUUAAGUUCUAACUCCGUGACAUUAGACAAUUGUUCCAAUAUUGGAGUUUGAUUUUUUUCCCCCUAAGUUAAUUCUUAAACCUAGCAAUUGUUCCCGUAUUGGGACCUAAGCUUUAGGAUUUUCCAAGAAAUAUCAAUGACUAACUUAAGCAAAAAUAAAUUCAUGCCCCAAUGUGACAAAACAAUAAUUAUUGAUUUUAAGAAUUAACUUGGAAAAAAAAAGUUUAAACCUUAUAUGAAAGUGAUUGCCUUUAACCUGAAUAAAUUUACCAUAUUAUUAACUUUGAAAAGUUUAAGACACCUGUUAUUAUUAUUGUUUUUAUAUUGGUUUACUUUUUUUAAAUAAAUUUACUAAUUAAGUGGUGUUUAUGAAAAAUUUUAUAAGUGAAAUGGUAAAGCAUCUUGUAAUUUUAAACCGAGAUGUAAGCAAUGGCGGAGUCUAGUAGAGGUCCAGGCGUUCAUGGCCCUCCAAAGUUUAAAAUUUUUGUAAUUUAACUUUUUGUAGAUAUAUUAUGGCCCUCCCAAAAUUAUAAAUAAUCCCCUUAAGGUUUUAGAUUUUUUCAAUUUCCCCCUUUGUAUAUAUAAUAUAGCCCUCUCAAAAAUAGAGUGUUUAUAUGUUUAAAUCAAUUGUUAUGUUGGAAUAUUGAUUCUUUUGAAUCGAUUCUUUAUACGUUUAAAUCGAUUAUUAUGUUGGAAUAUUACUUCUUUUGAAUCGAUUGUUUAUAUGUUUAAAUCGAUUAUUAUGUUGGAAUAUUGCUUCUUUUGAAUCAAUUGCUUAUACGUUUAAAUCGAUUGUUAUGUAGCACAUAUAAUUUUAGCUUGACCCCCAAAAUUAACAUCCUGACUCUGCCACUAGAUUUAAGUUUAAAUUUUGGAGAUAAUAUUGUUAAGAGAUAUAACUAUAAAUCUCGAAAAUAAACCUCGAAAAUAAACCGUAAAAAAUAUAAAAAUAUAAAAAGAAAACAUUUUAAAACUUAAUUUAUAUAAUAGUUUAUUUUUAAAUUGUUGUAAAACAUUUUUGUAAAAUGCUUUUAAAAAGAAAAAAAAGAGUUGGUUUUUAAUUUGAUAUUCUUACAUUUAUAUCUGGAAAUCCAUGCAAAAAAAAGUAAAAAGCGUUACUGCCUCCACGUACACACAGGGAAAGCCAUCUUUGUCACCUUCACGUCUUCAAACGGUUUCAAAACAGAAAAAGACCAAAAUGUUUGCCAUUAGUUAUUACACUAGUCAGUUUAACUCAUUAAUCAGGUUUUAAUUGAGAUAAUUAAAAAAUUCAUAUUUUUAUAAAGCUAGUUAUUUUAUGUUUAAGUUUUAUAUAUUAAAUUAAUAAAAACUUAUGUAAAACAAAGUUUUACUUUAUUUUUGGUUUAAGAUUGUAAAAAAUUCUCAAAUUAAAGAAAAAAAAAGUAAUUUAGCCUCUGCUCUUUUUUUUUUACUCAAUUGGGUACUUGAAUUGUCAAAAUAUAUAUAUAAAAAAGGCCCUUUGACCGUUAACUUUAAUAGUUGGUCGUUAAAGUUAUCUGCCCUAAAUUUUUUCAGUUAAAGUCACUCGUGUCACAACCACAGUACAGCGUGACAUGUGACAAAAAAUUAUAAAAAAUAAAAAUCAAUAAAAAUUAUAAAAAUUAUUAAAUUUUAAUAAAAAUAUAAUUUAAAAUGAAAAAAAUUAUAAAAAUUAUAAAAAUUAUAAAAAAUUGUAAAAUUUUAUAAAAAUUUAUAAAAUGCAUCAAAAAGACCAUUUAACCAUUAACUUUAACUGUUGACCGUUAAAGUUAACGGCCAUAUUUUUUCAGUUAAGGCUACCACGUGUCGCAACACGUGUCAUGUGACGAAAAAUGAUAAAAAAAUCAAUAAAAGUUAUAAAAAAUUAUAAAAUGUUUCUUUUGGUACGAUAAUUCUUUAUAAAUUUUUUACGAAUUUUAUAUUUCUUUAUAUUUUUUAUAAUUUUCAUACGACUUUAUAAUAUUUUAUAAUUUUUCCCUAUAUUUCUACAUUUUUUAUAUUUUUAUGAUUUUUAUAAAAUUUUAAAUUUUUUUAUAAUUUCUUACGAUUUUUAUAAUUUUUAUAACUUUAAUUGAUUUUUAUUUCUUAUCAUUCUUUUGCGACAUGUCACGUCGUGGUUAUAACAAUCGAUGACUUUAAUUGAAAAUAUUAGCGGUGUUUAACUUUAACGGUCAACUGUUAAAGUUAACGGUCAAAUGACCUUUUUGAUUUUGACAGUUUAAGUAUCCAAUUAAGUGCAAAAAAAAUGUAGGGACUUAAUUGCAUUUUUUGAAAAAGUUUAAGAACCUUUUUGAUGCAUUUUAAAAAUUCAAGUACCCAAUUGAGCGAAAAAAAAAGAAUAGGAACUUAAUUAUUUUUUUUAAAUUUAAGAACUAUUUACAUGCCUUUAUUUUUCAUAAAUUUUUAAUAAAUAUAUUUUUAAACUAAGUUUUUUUAUCCUAAUUGUGGGUAUGUCAUGAUCACCCACGAUUGUAGGUUAGAAAUACCGUGUAAAAAUAUAUGUAUAAAAAUUUUACAUUAAAAUAAAGUCAAAAGCUAAAAAUUUAAAAUUCAUAUGCUCUAACGUUAUUAUUUUACUUAAAAAUAAAAAGAGAAAAAUAUAUUUGUACUUAGAGGUAAUCAUGAAUCAGGUCGGGUCAUAAUAGAAUUUUAAACUCAUUUUCAGGCCUAAGAUUGAUCUAAUAAAAAAAAUAAGCCUAAAAUUUUGUCCAAGCCCGAUACAAAUAAAAAAUGCUAAAACCGAAUACUGACCCACCCAUAUUAAUUUUUUUAUAUUAUUAUUUUUAUAUAAAAACAAAUUUAAAAAAAUAUAAUACAUCAAAUAUAUUGGAAACAUUAAAAUAAAUGUUUCCCAACAAAUUAAAAAUAAAUUAAAAAAUAUUUAUACUUAAAUGACACUAAGAUAAAUGCAACCUAGCAAGCAAAUAUAUUUAAAAUAGUAGUAAAAUUAACAAUAAAAUAAGAGUUAUACAAUAUUUAAACAAUAACAACAAAAUAGUAACAAUAUAAUAGCGAAAUCACACCAAAACUGUCGAAACCAUUUUUUUGAAAGACAAAAUUUUUAGGUCGUCGACUUCAAAAAAAAUGAAAAUUUGGGAGUCGCCACCAAUCUUUUAUUGAUGUGUGAUUGGAUCACCUAAAAUGAUUUUGGUCUACGAAUUUUAAAAAAACGGGUCCGGGAGUCAGUUACGUACGAGGAAGGAUUAGCACCCUCGUACCGCCCAAAAUUGGUACCUAAUUAAUUAAUUAGUGUUUUAAGGUCGAAAAUUUUAAAAAUAUAAUCUUUAAAAACUUAAAAUGUUACGUAUUAAGACCCUUAUCGUUUCAGAGAAAGAAAAUACCACACCCAAUACGUUAGGGCACGGCAUUCUAAUUUUCCCCAAAAUGAAUUAAGCCAGAAUACUCGUGUUACAAAAAUUUAAAAGAAUAUCCAUUGAUUCAAGAAAUCGCGACCCAAUACGUUAGGGCACAAUUUCUUUAAAAUCCCAAACUCGGAAUAUUUCCUUUAUUAAUUUUUUUAGAAAAAAAAAAUCUUCAUUUCGAGAAAUCAGUAUGUCACAUCUAAUACGUUAGGACACAACGUGUUGAAUUCCCAACAAUGAACUCUUAUUUUUGAUUAAGAGAAUAUCCAUUUAUUCAAGAUUUAAGAAAUCGCGGCCCAAUACGUUAUGGCACAAUUCCUUUAAAAUCCCAAACUCGGAAUAUUUCCUUUAUUAUUUUUAGGAAAAAUCUUCAUUUCGAGAAAUCAAUGCGUCACAUCCAAUACGUUAGGACACAACGUGUUAAAUUCCCAAUAAUGAACUCUUAUUUUUGAUUAAAGAAGAAUACUUGAAUGUCAGAUUUAACGAAGAAAAUCGGAACCCAAUACGUUAGAGCUCAAUCUUCUUGAAAAUCCUAAAUACAAGCAUUAUCUCUAUUGAAAAAAAAUUUGAUUUUAAAAAAUUGAGUAAAAAAUGUAAUGUUAUGCGACUUUAAAUAUAUAAUGCAAUAAUAAAUAUCACAAUAGCAUAGAAAUAAUACAAAUAUAUAAACAAAUAAAUACAAUAAUGGCAUGCAAAAUAUCAAAUAAAUGGGCAAGAUAAUAAUAAAAAAUAUGCAAACAUAAAUUGAUAAGCGAAUAAUUAAAAUAAAUAACAAAAGGUGCAUACAAGUACACAUAAAAAUAUAUAGGUUUGAAAUAAAUAAUAUAUCAAAGAUAAUUAAAUUAAUAAAACAAGAAUAUAUAUAUAUAUAUAUAUAUAUACAAGUAUACAAAAAAAUAAUUUCAAAAAAAAUAAAUACGUGCCCCUUUUUAAAAAAAAACAUAUAUAUAAUAAUAAUAAUAAUAAUUACAUAUAAGAAUUAUAAGAUAAGGUAAAAACAACUGCAUUAUCAAAAAAAUAUUGAUUUUUUAAAGAAAAUAUGAAAAAGGGACUAAAAUGGAUUCUAAAUAAAAAAUAUAGGGUAAAUCCGCAAAUAAAUAAAGUCUGGAGGAUUAAAUUGAACACGCGAAUUACAUAGAGGGGCUGGAAGGGGAAUUUUCCCUUCUCCUCUAAAACGGCGCCGUUCAACUGGAUUAAAUUGGAAUUUAAAAUAAAUUAAAGGUCGAAUUUAAAAUAAUAAAAAAACCUAAUUAGAAAUAUAUUAAAAGGUGGAGGGGCUAAAGAUGAAAUUUUCCCCUCCAAAUAAAACGCGCGGAUCCUGGAUUCGGAUCGGGUCGACGCGCGGAUCCCACCCCCAUUCAAACGGCGCCGUUUUGAUUGUCCUAUUUAAGCCAAAUUUCAAUCAAAAAUUUCAUUUUUAUUCUUUACAAAAAAAAAAUUUAAAAAUCUCUCAAAUUCUCCCUUCUCCUCCAAGCACUGGUCCCCUAGUCCGACCAUCGGCCGGUCACCAGCCACCGCGUUGGCCACCGAUCUCCAGCGCCGGCAUCGUCGUAUGCGGUGACCGAAAAAGGAAAAAUUCCCUAUUCGUCCCUCCCAACCUAUCCAGGUACAGAUCGAGGCUCAAAUCCUUUGGAAACCGACGAAAAAAAACAGAAAGAAACUAGAAGCCUUUCGACUUCCGUCCGUCUGUCCUCGGAGACGGACCUUAGCCUUCCAGUGGCGCGACAGACCCUAAUGUCGGUGCGUUUCUCUCCUUUAUUUUAUUUUGUAAAAGUAUAUAAACAAACAAUAAUAAAUAAAUAACAGAAUAAAAAAAAACAACCUUAGAUUUCGUUGUUUCUCUCUGUCUGUGUAGUAAAAAAUAGUGUUUUUUUUAUUGAUUUCGAAAUCCGGCCCCCAUUACAGUAUGCUCAAUGGCCUUUUAUAGCCGUAUGAAACAAAUCUAAAAAGGAAAGAAAUCUGUUCUUGAUUUGAUUUACAAAUAUUGUUGAUUCCCUUUCCAUUUUCGUUUUUUCUUGCUAUGCAGGUAAAUCCAUGGGAAUUCGGCUAAGAUUGGAGUUGCGGCGCUGUUGAGGAUUAGAAACCCUAGGGUUUCUGGUGAUUUUGGGCCACCGUACAUUUAGUUUAUUUCAGUUUGGGCCUUGUGGCCCGUUUGUAAUUGGAUUGUUUAUUUGGGCCUUUUUACCCGGGCCAAAAUCGGGUAUUAUAAAAACAGUAGCAAAAAGCAAUAGUUUUUUUUUGUAAAUUCGAGCUGACCCAGGACAAAAAAGGUUUACCUGAGGUCAGACUCGUUUAGAAAAUGGACAUCGAGUUUUUGUCGAAGCCCAUUUUUCGAAUUUAUAUUUUUCUCAAAUCCUCUUAGUUUUUGGGCAGACCUUUGAGCCCAACCCAUGAUCAGAUUUAUGUGUACUAAUAUUUGCUUCUUUGUAGAGAUUAGAGAUUUCAAAAUUAUAUUGAUAUCCGGUUAAUUUAUAACAAAAAUUCAAUUUAAAACUAUAAUUAAUAUUAACAAUAUAUAUUGAAAGUAAGUUAAAAAUAUAAAAUCCUGGAUCGUCAGCGUGACGCCGCGUGAACGCAAUGGGAACAAAUAGUCCACAAAAAAGAAAUCAAUAAUAAUAUUUAAAAAGUGAAAAGAAAUAAAAAAGAGAUAAAAGAGUUUACGCGUAGACAGAUAGAGACGGAGAGAGAGAGAGAGAGAGAGAGAGAGAGAGCCUGUUGUGUUGGUAAGCGAAAAAGAAUGAGAGGAAUUUAAGGGCAAAUAUAUUUAUAUAUAUAUUUGUGUAAAGCCUCGAUUUUUUUCUAAUUUAGUUUAAUUAAUUUAAUAUAAUUAUUGAAUACUAUGUUUUAGAAAAACCUAUAGUUUUCAUUUUCUUGAAUCUGAAGGAAUAAUAAAAAGGCUCCACUUUGAAACCUAAGCUCUUUACAAAUCUAUCGAUCUUUCUCCUGUUUUUUUCUUAAUUUUUUAAAAUUUUAUUUUUUGGUUGAGGUUUCUUCAGGGUUUCUUCUUCUCUAUGGUUCACACUUGUUGUGUUCACACCAUAUCCACAUAAAUCUUUCCUGGUUUUUUUUUUGUCUCUAUCUUUUUCUUUCUUUUUUCCUUUUCUGGAUCAGCAAUCUUUUGUUGGGUGCAAAAGAAAAAAAAACUUAAUAAUUUCAGGGGAUUUGUCUGGUUUUGCGUUUAAUAGUUGUUUAUGGAGGGACAUCAUCGCCAUCAUCAUCAUCAUCAGCAGCAACAUCUGCAGCAACAACAACAGCCUGUAAGUGUCAACGUUGAAGCUGAUAGGUUUCCUCAAUGGAGUGUUCAAGAGACAAAGGAUUUUUUAAUGAUCAGAGCAGAGCUGGAUCAAAGUUUCAUGGAGACCAAAAGGAACAAGCUGCUUUGGGAAGUUAUCUCCACCAGGAUGAGGGAAAAAGGUUAUAAUCGAAGCGCUGAACAGUGCAAGUGCAAGUGGAAAAACCUCUUUACUCGUUACAAGGUACCAAAUAUUCGAUUCACUAUUCAACCCUUUUUCUUUUUAUUUCCCUGUUUUUGUUUUUAACUUGAAUGAAAAAGUAAAACCCUAUUCAGGGAUGUGGAACGGUUGACGCAGAAACUGUGCGGCAACAGUUCCCGUUUUACGACGAGUUGCAGGCUAUAUUCACGGCGAGGAUGCAAAGUGUUCUAUGUUCGGAAAGUGAAGGCGGAGGAGCUACCGGGUCAAAAAAAAAGGCAGCACAGGCGCAGCUAUCUUCCGACGAGGAAGACGAUACGGAGGAAAACGAGUACAGCUUUAGGAAGAAGAAGAAAGGGAAAACUGGUGGUGGGAGUAGUAGUAAGAGCGGCAGCAUUAAUAUAAAGGAAAUGUUAGAGGACUUCAUGAGACAACAGUUGCAGAUGGAAAUGCAAUGGAGGGAAGCUUUGGAGUCGAGAGAAAACGAGAGGCGGAUGAAGGAAAUGGAGUGGAGGCAAACCAUGGAAGCCCUUGAAAACGAGAGGAUAAUGAUGGAGAGAAGAUGGAGGGAAAGGGAAGAACAAAGGAGAAUAAGGGAAGAAGCUAGGGCUGAGAAGAGAGAUGCUCUCAUUACUGCACUUUUAAACAAGCUUAGAAGAGAAGAUCAAAUGUAGUGCAACUCCCAAAGAUUCACUCGAGUCUCCCCAGCAGUCUCAUUUUAUGGAUGACCUGUAAGUAUUGUGUAUUGAAAUACUAAUUACUAACGAUUCAGGUCACUUGUUUAAUUUUCAUGUUUUUCUGGGAAGAGGAAGCUUUUCUUUUUUAUAGAUAUUUUUAAUUAGUUUCUUCUUCAUUUGGCAUUCUUUUUUUUUAUCAUUAUUAAGAGGCGACCAUGAACAAAAAAGGCUCCAAGGUCUAGAUAUAUGUUGGUGGUAGUUGAAGAAAUUAAAACAAUUAAUCUACAGCAAUCGAUCCACAAACGAUAGUGUUUCCAGGUAAUGCUUAUCAAAGUGAAUAUUCUAUCUAUAUAUGGAACAAAUAUACAUAGAUUUGUAGUGGACACUGUUGAAAAUGCUCCAUUAUUCUUGUUAAUGCCUCUCAACUUCUUCAAAGUGUGGCACCUUUCACUUACAUAUAUAUCUGCAUGUCUACAUUCAUACAUAUAUAUAUACAUGCACAUUCAUGAACGCAUGUGUGGGAGCUUCAGCAGCUAGAUUUUCAUUUUUCUUACAAUAAGAAAUUGUUUCAUGGGUUUCCAUCAACCCUAAAGUGGUUUGAAGGAUAUUAGUACUUUUUGAAUUACAUUAAUAUCGACCUUAGGGAUGUCAAAACAUGUGGUUGACUUUCUUGGAUUAGAUGCCUGGUGCCUUGUGCAUUUUCUGAUGUAUUACAUAUAUAUAUAUAUAUAUAUAUAUACAUAUGAACCAUACUCUCUAGAUUGUAUUCCCACUACACAAACUAAAAGAUGUCAUUGAAAAAGAUGAAAGGCUCCUAUCUUAAUGGAGAGUAGGUGGAGAUGGAAUGAGUCUUACUCAUUAAAUAAAGUUUUAAAUUCAAUUUUUGUGAAAAAAAAGAAAGUUGAGACACCUUUGCUUCUGUUUAAGAAUUUGAUGUAGUUCAGUUCUGAAUUUAAUUGAAAUUUAGUAUAGUUAUCAGAUAUCGAAUAGUCUUGAUUUUUAAGACGAAUGAUUUUUAUUUACCAGUAUUACCUAGCUAGCUCAACUUAGAAGCUAUAUUUCAUUUAAUUAAUGGCACAUAUAAUAAUUAAUAAUAUAUCAUUUAUGUGGAUUAGUCAUCAGCCCCAAUAUCUUUUUAUGUUCAUACUUGUUCAUAUUUGUCACUAUGAGAAUAAUUCAAUACCUUUCUUACUGUUCUAUUUAUUUCUGUGAACCUAAAUUUAAGUUUUAUUUUGUUUAUAUGUGUAUAUAUAUAGAUAUGGAUUAAGCAUAUCCCUUAACUAUAUUAUCCAUAUAGAUUUGGAUGAUUCUUAAAUCUAACCAACUCAAUCAAGGGAAAAAAACCUUGGAGUUUAAUUUCUUUAUCUCCUUUCAUUUCAUAUGGUAUUUUAUGCAUUUGGGAUUAAUACUAUAUAUAUAUAUAGACAUGAUGAUAUUAGGAAUCUUGUACAAUAAUUAACUUUACGAGAGAUUUCACUUUCAAGGAGUUAAAAAUAUCUGGUGUUAGUGGUAAGAUGAUAACAAAAGGAUCAUGUGGGGGUAUGUUAUGUGCAUCCUAGCUAUCUAAUUAAGCACCUUCAAACAAGAAACAAAGGACUCAAGAUUGAUGUCCAUGCAUACUCAAAAUAUGAAAAGAUAUAUAUAAAUAAAAAAGUUUUCUGUAGCUAUAUCUGAAAAGUGAACUUUGUGAAUAAUGUUUCAUAUGUUUGUGACAAGUAGGGUCUCUCAUAGAUUUCUUACUUUUACUCCCUUUUUCACUAACCUUUUCUUUUACUUUAUAUGAUUCAUGGGUAAUCGAUAAUAUUAACAACUUGUUAUAAUUGGGUUCCCCUCCAUUUUUCCCAUAAUAUUUUUUUUUCAUUUUGUGCGAGAGAAAUUAAAUAUCAAGUGGUUUUGCCAUUGAUUGGUGUGUGUAGAUGAGGUUGCAGGGUGGCACUAGUUUUUGUCCCUUACCUGCAUGGCUUUUUUCAUCAUCAACUGGCAGAGGAAGAUGGGUUUGGUUUUGUUUCAAGUAAUUCUACUGUUUGCCUUGACUAUGUAAUCUGAUUUCAUUUUUUCACUUACGGUCAAAUCAUUGGUAGCUGCUGGUUUACAUAUUUGUAUGGCUUCUGUUUCAUAAACGGGUAAAUGUACAGUGGCAGCCUGGAUUACAUUUCAAAAAUAGGUAAAUUAGGAGUAAAUUAAAUUUUUUUUGUUAAAAAUUUUAUCUACUUUUACUAUUAAAAACUAAUUCUUAUAUAUCAACAUGAGAUAUACGUGGCAGCCACAUGUUAUUUUCAUCUAAUGUACAAAUACCCAAAGCAUAAAAUGCAAUUUAACCUCUACUAUACAUUUUCAUUACAACGUAUAACGUUAUAAACCGUGUUUAUGGAAUUCACCGACAUGUCUAAAAUAUUUAUUGAUUUGAACAAAAAGGAAAAAUAGAAUCUAAUUUUUAAAAAGGAUCGCUUUUUGUUUCUUUUUCUUGGAAAUUCGCUAAAGGUAUGGUCCAUGGUUAUUUUUGCAUAUUUGAUGGAUGAUUUUUAAAUAUACAUCAAAUACUUGUCCUUUACUUGAAGAUGAAGGAGAAGACUGGUCCAUCAAGAUUUUGAGUAUCAUAACCAAAAAAAUAUUAAUGCAAAUUAUAUAUAUCUUGAUGAUGGAUGUGAAUUUAAAUUAAAAAUAUAGCUAAUUGACCAACAAUAUGAAAUUAUAAAAUAUUUGAAGUGGGUUUAUAAAUAAAAAGGGAUGCAAGAGUACAGUUUUGACGUUAAUAUUGAACUGCCGACAAAAAUUAAUUCAUAUUGAAUUUGAUGAUUAUUCUUGGAAUGUUUGCAUGUGAAGAAGUCAAAGACAGCUAAAUCUGUUCAGUUUUGACAUUAAAAUUUUCAAUUACCCAUGUGGCCAAGCAUCCCAUGCAACUACACUUUUCUCCUUCAUUUUACUUUUAUAAAAUGGUAGAAAACUAAUUUCAUAUCCUAAGCGGUCUAUCCUACUAAAGUUUCUUAAAUUAAUUAUUGGGUUAAAAUAAUAAUUUGUGACCAUAUUAAUAGUGGAUAUUGAAUUUUUCAUUAAUAUUUAUCAUUAUAUUUUGAAAAUAUGCUUAAAUUUGUUGCACAAUUUUUAUAUAAUUGAAUUUUAUCAUUACGUUUUGAAUUUUAUUGAUUUUUUCCUUUAAUUUUGUUUUCUAAUUAAAUUUUACCACUUAAUAUUGAUGAUUAAAAUUUAACAAAAAUUAUUAAUUCAAAUAUUUUAUUUUAAUAGUUAACAAUAAGUUAAUUUACAAACUAUUAAAAAUCAAUAAAUUAAAAAUUAUUUUUUAUUUAAUAAAAAACCUGAAAUAAAAGAGAUUAACUUUACUUUUUUAUAUAUAUAACUCCUUUUAUUAAUUGUUGAUAUUAUAUUAAUUUAUCAUUUUUAAGUAUUAAAUUAAAAUAUUAUUUUUAUUAAUUUUAUCUUCAAAUUAUUUUAAAUUAAAAUUGAAUAGUAAAAUUCAAUCAAAAAUAAAAUUUUAGUGACAAAAUUUAACCAAACAAAAGUGACAAAAUUCUAAAUAAAGUUAAAAAUAUUAUAGUAAAUUUACUUUUAGCUCAAAAGUACAAUAAUAAAUAUUAAUAAAAAUAAGUAAAAUGGCAAAUUUCAACUUUUAACUAAAUUAUAGUGGAAAAUUUGUACUAUUCUUUGUUCAUGUGCUCAACUAGGAGUGAGCAAAAUUCGGUUCGAAAGAAUAUUUUUUUUUAAUUUUGAAUUAAUCGAAUCGAGUUAUUUGAUUUUUUUAGUCAACUUGAAUAAGUAAGUCAUAUUUCAAGAUCGAGCCGAGUUGAAUUUUAUAAUUUGAAUAAUUCGAAUAACAUGUUGGUGUAAAUACCCCUUUGGUCCCUGUCAAUUUUGAAAAUGAUCAAAUUGUUCUCUUUCUCAACAAAAAUUACAAAAAAAAAAAAGAAUUCAAAAUCUUUAUAAAAAUUUAAAGUUUAUUGUCACACUCAGAAAUAUUAAAGGUUUGGCAUAAUUGAAAUUCUAAGUACUUAAUUAAUUUUUUUUUGUUUAAGCGGGUUCUAGUGUAAUUAUGUGAACUUUGCGGAUUGGUUGGGUAAAUAGUUAGAUUUUUAAAUUUAGUUCCGUCAAAUUAGAACUAAGAAUCUUUAUUAGUGGAAAACAUCAUGAUUAUGGGUAUUAAUAAGACUGAUUGUCUUGGGAUUAAGGGAAGCGAUGGUGGAAAGACUAUAUUAUAAAGGAAGGAUUCUUCGUGUUGAUAUUCAUUUUUCUGUCAUUCUUCUAUCUUCUUCUUCUCUAGUUUAUUUUGUAAGUUAAGAAAAUUAAGAAACGAGUUGUAUUAAAGGAAGAAUCUGAGGUGUUAGCAUAAAUACUUAAUUGCUUAGUAAUCUGCCAACCAAGAAAGAGAAGGUCCAAAUGAUAAAGGGAAGGCUAAGUAGGUGUCAACCCAGGUAUUUUGUUGUUAAGUUUCUAUACUUAAACUUUCUGUGGUUGUUUUAUAUAAAUGUAUAUCAGAACUGUAGUUUCAUGUUGUUGUUGUCUUCAUGUUUUGCUAAUGAUGAGUUGCAUUAUCGUGGACAAUUUAUAUAAGUAUUGUUUUACAAUUGCAUGUCCGAUUAUACUUUACAGAUCACUGUUUUACAAAUUUCACUGGAAAAUAAUUAUUGAUGAAGUUAUCAUUUUCAUGGUCCACAUGAUGUUAUGGUUGGUAAGAUAUGUUGUGUUUUCGAUAAAUGAUCAGUUGAAUGUUUACUAUAUGCCUGUCUAAAUUAUGAAUGAUAUGUGGAGUAAGGAGGGUGGUUUUGGCGGUUGAAAGAUGAAGAAAUAUCACGUUGUGCACUCUUUGCCACAUGUUAUUUGGUUUUGUGGAGGUUCAGGCGAAUAGUACGGAGAAUGUAUUUGCACAAUUUUUUACUUUGCAGAGGUUCGGAUGGUUUGUGCGGAGAUAUAUGCGUUUAUGAAUGUGAUAAUCCAAUAUGGGUUCUAUGUAUGUAUGUAACUCUGCGGAGUCUAAGGCUGUGAGCCUCUUAUGUGUAAGCAAGUCCAUGAUCAUUGCAUAUGAAAGGUUUGAAAGAUAUGAAAAUCCGCCAGACUUAUUCGAUAAGUUUAUGUUAAAGAUAAAUGUGAGAUUAUGCCAAAUAAAGACCGCUACAAAGUCUACUUAUAUGAAUUCGCUAUGAUUGUGAAGUUUUUCUAUGAAUCUGCAUAUUUAAAUCUGUUUUAUCUUUGAAGUUCUUCUAUGAAUUCUGUUGGAAAUUAUAGAUUGCAAAUUAAUUAUUCAUGAGCACUAUUCAAAUUAAAAGUCAUGAUUUAUCAUCUUACAAAUUUAAUUAUUCAUAAGCACUAUUCAAAUUAAAAGUGAUGAUUUAUCAUCCAAUGGAUACAUUUCCAUGGGACAUGUUUCUCCCAAGAAAUAUGUCCAAUAUGAAGGAUUGUGGCUCUUCAAAAUUGUAUUCAUUGAGUGUAUAUAAAUAGAGGCAUUAUGGUGCUCACAAAUCACACAAUUACAAUUAAUCCCAUUUUCAAAAACUAGAGUAAGAGUUAGAGAAUUCCUCGAUUUUUCUAAUUAAAGAAAAUUCAAAGCUUCGUUGUAUCCCGGGAGGACCUUUAUCUUAACCCUCUAGCAACUUUGUAUAGGGGAAAAUAGUUCUCUUUGGAAAGCGUUAUCCGUGCCUUGAAGUCUACUAUUUAUUUACAUAUAAGACUUUGAUUCUGUCGUCUCCACUCAAAUAUCCAACAAUCAAAGAGAACUAUUUUGGAGAUGGCGACGCAGGCUACUACCGCAAUCAAAGUGAUGAACUAAGAGUUUGUGAAACUUGAUCAAUUUGAUGGUUCAAACUUUAAUCAUUAGAAGGAUAAGAUGCUGUUCCUUCUUACUGUCUUAAAUAUGGCGUUCGUUCUGGAUCCAUACCUACAACCCGUAGAGGAUCCAACUCCCAAUGCAAACUCCGAAGAAAUUACGAAAGUGGCUGAACUAAAGAAGAAGCGCGAAGAAGACAAUUUCACAUGUUGAAGACACAUGCUCAAUACAUUGUUUGAUCGAUUGUAUGAUCUUUACAUGUCGAUGCAAUCUGCGAUGGAAAUAUGGAAAGCUCUUAAAGAGAAAUACAACACCGAGUGACAAUGUACUAAUAAAUUUUUAAUGAUGAAGUAUUUCAAAUUCAAAAUGCUUGAUAGUAUCCUGAUCAUGGAUCAAGUCCAUAAAUUACAAGUCCUUGUAAGCAGGCUUUGUGACUUGAAAGUUGUUAUUCUGAAAUUGUCACAAGUUGGGGCUAUUAUCUCGAAGUUGCCUUCAUCUUGGAACAAUUAUCGGAAGAAACUUCUGUUUAUGGUAAAGGACUUCACUGUAGACAAAAUACUUAGGCAUUUACGUAUUGAAGAGAAUAUCAACCAAUGAUCUCAAGUGAUCAAACCAAAAGAAAUCUUUGUGAUAAUAACAAUACAGAGCCAAGGAAAAGUCAAAGAGUGAGAAAAGUAAAGGACUUUGGUCCUAAUUUCAUUUUCUUGCAAUCUCUAGCAUUCCUUGUUGAUGAAAUAGAAUCCGUAAUUAUGAAGAUCCCCAUAAUGUUUAAUGUGGAUGGCGAUCCACAAUUAUAUGGUGAAGCCAUGACUUUUAGAGAUGCAACAUUUUGGAAAGAGGUGAUCAAUGAUGAAAUGUAUUCAAUAUUAUCCAAUAAUACUUGGAUUCUAGUUGAUCUUCCUUAAGGAUCGAAGCCUAUUAAGUGCAAAUGGGUGUUUAAAAGAAAGAAUACCCUAACAGGGCAUUUUCCAACCUUUAAGGCUAUGUUGGUGGCUAAAGGAUUUAUGUAAAAAAAAAGGCCUAGAUUAUUUUGACACUUAUGCACCAGUGGCUAGGAUGACCUCUAUUCGAAUUGUUAUAGCACUUGCAUCUAUCCAUAAGUUACAUGUACAUCAAAUGGAUGUUAAGAUGACUUUUUUGAAUCGUGAUCUCGAAGAGGAAGUCUAGGAAUGAACAUAAGGUGUGUAAGUUGAUCAAGUCAUUAUAUGGUUUAAAAUAAUCGCCUAAAUAAUGACAUAAGAAAUUUGACUCGGUUAUCUUGUCAUAUGGUUUUUUACAUAAUGGUGCGGAUAAAUGUAUUUACACUAAAUUAACCGAUAAAUAUGGUGUAAUUAUUUGUCUCUAUGUAACGAUUUGUUAAUUUUUGAUACAAACAUGGAAGGUAUUCGUGAGACCAAAGAGUCUCUAGCCUUGAAAUUUAAAAUGAAGAAUCUCAACGAGGUAAAUACAAUUCUAGGUAAAAAAGUGAAAAAACAUGAAAAGGGCUUUACCCUAAGUCAAUCUCACUACAUUGAGAAAGUAUUGGAAAAGUUUAAACACUUGAAUAUCAAGGAUUCAAACACUCCAUAUGACUCAAAGUUCAAGUUAAGUGAGAAUAAUGGCAGGGCUAUAGCGCAACUUGAGUAAGCCAGCACACCAUUGAAAAGGGCUAGACCCGAUAUUGCAUUUGUUGUAUGCAAAUUGGCGAGAUUUACAAAUUUUCUUAGUACUGAUCAUUGGAAAGAAAUUUGUAGGAUUUUUGGCUAUCUUAUGAAAAAAAAAAUUCAGGAUUAUUCUAUAGGGAUUAUCCCGUAAUUUUAGAAGAUUACUCAGAUGCAAGUUGGAUUACAAGUCUAAGUGACAAUAAGUCCACAUUGGGAUGGAUUUUUACAAUCGGAGGUGGAGCCAUUAGUUGGGCCUCCAAGAAACAAACUUGCAUCUGACAUUCAACUAUGGAGGCUGAAUUUAUAGCCUUAGCGGCUACUGGUAAGGAAGCGGAAUGGCUAAGAGAUCUCUUGCUAGAUAUAAAGUUGUGGCCACAAUGUAGGUUCGCCAUUUUCGUAUAUUAUGAUAGUAAAUAUACCAUGUCUCGAGCGGACAAUAAGGUGUACAAUGGAAAGUCUAGACAUAUAAGUUUGAGACAUGAGUAUGUGAGACAAUUGAUUAAGGACGGUGUGAUACAAUUGAUUAAGGACGGUGUGAUAACUGUUACCUAUGUUAAGUCAAUUGACAAUUUAGCGGAUUCAUUGACAAAAGGUUUGUCAAGGGAUUUGGUUAAGAGUACCACCACUAAUAUGGGACUAAAAUAAUUUUAAUCAUGUCAUUGAUAAUGGAAACCCUACCUUGUUCUAGCCAAAAGUUAGUUUCAAGGUUCAAAGGGUAAUAACAAGUUAUUGAAUGACAACGUACACUAAGAAUCAAAAUUUAGUGUUUAUAUUUUAGGAGGAUGAGUUUUACUUUUAAUGGAUGGACAUUAAUUUUCAUGAAAUUCACUUAUAUGGACAUGAAAUGGUGCCGCUUCAAUGAGAUUUUCUUUAUGGUUUUCUCUCAUACAUGUUCAUGAAAUGGGAUGAGCACAUAGCCAUAAUGGUGCUAAAGCUAAUUAAACUCUUACCCUAAUACUUUACGAUUAUGUGUGAAAAUUUUUCGGUAUUGAAUUUAAGAGUGAUGGUUCAAGCGACUAGCCACCAUUCACUUUGUUGAUACUCUGAGGGUUUGCACUAAAGGAAGGUUCAAUAAGCAGAAACCCUUUUUUAUGCAUAAUCGUUGUGUACUUAUUUUUUGGAAUUAGCAAUCUAGUGGGGGAUAGUUGUUGGAUAUUUGAGUGGAGACGAUAGAAUCAGAGACUUAUAUGAAAAUAAACAAUAGACUUCGAGGUGCAGAUGAAAUUUUCUAAAGUGAACUAUUUGCCCCCACACAAAGUUUCUAGAGGGUUAAGACAAACGUCCUACUAGAAUACAACAAAGUUUUGAAUUUCCUUUGAUUAGCAAAAUCAAGAAAUUCUCUAACUCUUACUCUAGUUUCUGAAAAUAGGAUUGACUGUCAUUGUGUGAUUUGUGAGCAUCAUAAUGCCUCUAUUUAUAUGCACUCAAUGAAUACAAUUUUGAAUAGCCACAACCUUUCAUAUUGGACAUGCUUCUUGGGAGAAACAUGUCCCAUGGAAAUGUAUCCUUUAGAUGAUAAAUCAUCACUUUUAAUUUGAAUAGUGCUUAUGAAUAAUUAAAUUUGUAAGAUGAUAAAUCAUCACUUUUAAUUUGAAUAGUGCUCAUGAAUAAUUAAUUUGCAAUCUAUAAUUUCCAACAAAUUCUCACGAAUGGACUACUAUAUUCUUGAAUCUUUUUAUAUGAGUACGCAUAUUUGAGUUCGCCAUAUUAUGAAUCUUCUUCUAUGAAUACGCAUGUAUGAGCCACUGUAUCUGUGAAUCUUCUUCUGAGUUCAUGUGUAUAAGUCCGCAUAUAAGAGUCCACAUUUAGAAUCCAUAUUAAAAAGUCCACAGGAUUGUCUGCCAAUUUAAUCCGAAACGACUCUCUCCUUUCGGUGGGUUAUAUUAAGAUUUUAUGCAACAAGUUUGUACGAAGAGACUAUACACCUCACAAUCUUUCACUGAGGAAGCUUCCAUGUAUAUAAUAUUGCGCCACUAUGUAGUUUAUGCUCAAAUACAAACUAUGGAAAAAUGAUCUCACAAGUUUAAUCUAAGCAAGAAUCUUGGCGAAUCCUAAGAAUUGAAGUAACUUAUUAUAGAGCUCACUAAGUUCCUCAUGAACUUACCAUGUUUUCUUUCUUCAUUUAAGAUAAUACCAAACUGUAGUUCAAGAAGAAUUAAGGAACUAAGCCAGAACCUCCAAGCCUUGUGUGAGCAUGACAUUCUUAUUUUUGUAACAUGUGCAGGUAUCCCGUGGUUUUAAUCUCUGUUUUAUGCUUGUAUUAGAAAUCUUCAAAUCAAGUUCAAAUUUUAAUUAGACUCUUGUAAAUUGUUGGAUAUAUUAUUAUAAUAGAUGAAUUUUAUUAAAAAAUCGUUUCACAUAUAUGCUUUAACAGUAAAACCAUGUGGAAUUGUUAAUUAUUAAAUUAAUAAUACUUACUUUAUUCAUGUAGAUCAUGCACAUUAAGGUAGGCAUAAAUUAAAAAAAAUUCACUACCAAAAAUUGAGGCAAUAGUGAAACAAAAUCAGUCACAGAUGCACUAAAUUGAUCAUUUUUUACUCUUUGUGACGGAUUUAGUAACGAGAUUUUCUGUCGUUGAUACCUCUUUAUUAAUAAGGUUGUCACAUGGAUGACAUAUCCUGUCACUAAAUUUGUGAUGGAAUUUCGAUUAGAAUUUGUUUAUAUAUUCCAUCACUAAAUUUGUUAAACUGGACACAUACACAUAACCAUAUUUUGUCACUAAUGCUUUUUCUAUCACUAUUCCGUCACUAAAUUCUGCUUUUAAAAUUUGUCACAGUUACUUUGUCUUGAUUUUUAUCUCAUAUACCUUAGUUCCACAACAUUUCUUAAUGAAUAAUCUAAGCUAGAGAAACUAAAAUACAGAUUAACAAAUAUUUUUAAAUAAGAUAUAAAAAUAAAAUCAAAUAUCAAGUAAGAUACAAUAAUAAUAUGUUUAAAUAAAAAGUAGAGCAAAAUACCAAAAAAGCCAAUUUUUUUAAAAAUUUACCGAAAUGGGCCCAGUAUUUUAUUAUUUACCGAAAUUGGCCCUUUUCCCCGAAAUCGCGUGCACGUCAGUGCGAUGUCAGGGUACGUGCCAGGCAAUCGCGGCCACGUCAGAGCGCUUUGCUGACAUGGCAACAAACCGUGUCCUCUGAAGCGCGAUUUGUGUCCACAUCAGCAAAGCACGCUGACGUGGACGCGAUUUCCUGGCACGUACCCUGACAUCGCGCUGACGUGGACGCGAUUUCACCGUGUCUCCCACGUUAGGGUUUUUAGGGUUUUUGGAGAAAAAAGUAAACGAAUAAGGGAUUAGGGUUAAGGGUUUCAUAAUUAAAUUAAUUAAAAUUUAUUCAAAAUUGGAUUACGUUUCGUGUUUAUGGGUUUUUAAGAUAAAAUCAAAGGAGGAUGAUUUAUCAGAAGGAUUUUUGAAGUCGCGCCCACGUGUACGCGCUUUUGCUACAGUAGGUCUUGGAAAAAUAAUUUCGACUUGACGUUUCUGAGAAAAUAGUUUAAAAAACGCUUCAAGCAGGAUGCUUUGUGAGAAGAAUUUGUGAAAUCGUGCCCUCGUGGACGCGCUUUUACUACAGUUGGUCCUGGAAGAAAUAAUUUCGAGUUGACGUUUUUGAGCAAAUAGUUUAAAAAACGCUUCAAGCAAGGUGCUUUAUAAGAAGAAUUUGUGAAGUCGCGCCCACGUGGACGCGCUUUUGCUACAGUAGGUCCUAAAAAAAUAAUUUUAAGUUUACGUUUCUGAGUAAAUAGUAUAAAACAACACUGCAAGCAGCAUGCUAUUUGAUAAGAAUUUGUGAAAUCGCGCCCUCGUGGACGCGCUUUUGCUACAGUUGGUCCUGGAAAAAUAAUUUCGACUUGACGUUUCUGAGCAAAUAGUAUAAAAUCACUUUUAGCAGGAUACUUUAUGAGAAGAAUUUGUGAAAUCGCGCCUACGUGGACGCGCUUUUGCUACAUUAACAUGUUUGGGCUGAGGCUAUAAAUAAGGCAAAAAAUGUUCUGAGAUUGCAUAAGUCACAGCAGAAACAAUUUAGAGAGGCUAAGAAGGUUAGAGUUUCAAAUAUGAGUGAACGUAUUAGUGCUGUUAUUUACUAUGAUGGUGAGGUUUGCCACACCGAGAAUGGUGUUAUUUUUUUUUCGGAGAAUACGGUGCGACUGGUUUUGAACCGGAACAUAGAUUUAGCAGAACUUCGUAAAAGAAUUAGGCGUAAAAUUUUUAGAACGACACCAAUUAAAGUUCUGUCUAUUACGUAUCGAUUCUGUUCCUUUGUUGAUUCGGUGACAUAUGACUCGUUCGACAUAAAAGGUGCUCGUAGCGUGGAGGCAAUGGUGCAGACUCAUAUUGCUAGUGGAGCACCUUAUGUUGAGUUAUAUGUACAAUUUACAUCGCCAAAUGAUGUACUUGCGACCGAUGUUCGAGAUGUAUACACGACCCCUGGCCGACAUUCGAUUAGCGGGUUAGAAAACACGGAACAACCCAUGUUUGGUAGCGGUGUUGAAUGCACAUCCCCCGCAAGACACUCUAUCGGUGGAUGGGACAUGUACGUCGGUGGCUCGAUGUUUGAUACUGAAAAUACGUACUGGGGAACGAGAUCAAGUUCUAGUGAUUGGCAAUCUACAUCCAAUUGGGGACGUUAUGAAAUGCCCAAAAGAAGGGAUGAUGUACUGCCUACGAUGUCAACCGGUGAGGGGACCUCAUACGCUGUAGAUAAUUGUAGGUUAGAAGAUGACCCCGAUGUGGAUCCACCUCGAGAGCCCGGGCCUGAUGAUGCAGAAGUUGGUUUAUUUUCUGAAUCGGAGCCUAUUUCAACAGAACCUGAAGAUGCUUAAAGGAGUUCAGAUGAAGAACAAAAUCCACGAUUCAGAGCAUACUCACCUCCAGCCCACAUGCAUAAUGUCGAUCUGUCUGCAGAUGAUGAGUUAGAGUUUCCAGAUCUACCACACCGGUUGCAUGAUCGUACAAGUUCAGGGCUAGAUUCGGGUAAAUUUGAAGUUGGUAAUCAGUUUACCAACAAGGAUAGUUUUAUUGGUCCUUUGAAACAACAUAGCAUUAAAAACGGCGUUAACUACCACGUCUUUAAAUCCAAAUUUGAUAAGUUUGAGGCGAAGUGUGCGGUGCAAGAUGGCACAUACUCAUGGAAAAUAUACGCUUCGUUAAGGAAAAGGAUAGGGUUGUGGGAGAUUAAAAAGUACAAAGGUCCACAUACAGGUGUUGCAGGUACAGUAUUGACGGUAUCUGAAUAAUACUUUUAUUAUGUAAUAUUGCAUUAUUUAAUGUACUCCGUUUAUAGGUGUUUCACAUGAUCAUCCGAAGAUGGAUUCAACUAUGUUAGCUAUCUUGAUACUGCCCACGGUAAAAGCAGAUUCCAAGACUUUAGUGCCGGAGUUAAUUACCAAUAUCCGUAGCCAAAUGGGGUACACGCCCUCUUACCGCAAGGCUUGGGUAGCUAAGCAAAAGGCGUUGGAGAAGAUGCAUAGUGGGUGGGACGCCUCAUAUAAUGAAAUAUGACAGUGGUGUCAAGUACUAGAGAGAUACGUCCCAGGUGCCAUCAAAGACCUUGAAACGAAAUAUGCGUAUUACAACGGCCGAUUGCUACGUGGAUGCCAAGUGUUCAAACGCCUAUUUUGGACUUUUAAGCAAUGCUGAGACAUAUUUCCAUACUGCAAGCCAUUGGUACAAAUUAACGGUACCUUUAUGUUUGGUAGGUAUACUCAUCGGCUAUUGCUUGCAGUGGCACAGGAUGGCAGUGGGAGAAAUCUUCCAAUUGCAUUUGCAAUAACACCGGGAGAGUCAUCUGAUGACUGAGAUUUCUUUCUCUCUAGGUUAAGGAGGCAUGUGUGCCCCCAACCUAAUAUCUGUGUUAUUUCAGAUCGGGGCGCCGAUAUACUAGCUGCGUUUGAUCGACAGGGAAGCUUAUGGUAGCGCACACACCAUCGAUAUUGCCUAAGACACGUUGCUUUCAAGUACUACAGGUAAUAUCCAUCUAAGAGUGAACGACGACAAGUGACCAACAUGGGUAUUUAGUCUAUAUUUGUGUUAUUUCGUUUCUCAAUUUGAAUUAAUUUUAUUGGUAGAAGUGGCAUGUAAUAUUCGCUAUGAACUUAUAUUGGCAGGGUAUGAAAUAAAUAAAGAUCGUUUUCACGAGAUGUUGGCAACUUUACGUUCAAUUAACGGAGAAGGGGCGGACUACCUUUGUAACAUACGUUUCGAAUAGUGGGCACAAGCAUACGACGACGACCUACGAUAUGGCCAUAUGACGUCAAACCUGGUUGAAUGCAUAAAUUCUGUUCUUAAAGGGACGCGUCAUUUACCGAUAACAUCGAUUGUGCGAGAAACAUAUUUUCGUUUGGCGGCGCUAUUUCCAAAGGGAGCAGCUAGUUAUGCAGGCCAGAUGCAGGGAAGACUUGUAUGGUGCAGUAAGAUAGUUCAAGAAAUUAACAAGGCUAAGGCGCGGGCAAACACCAUGCACACAGUGUGUCACGAUCGAGACAACUUAUAGUUUUGCGUGACAGAGUUUGACAGACCGCACCAAGGUGUUGUUAGCGGGCAAUAUCGUGUACACUUGCGAAAUAGGACUUGCGACUGUAGGAUGUUUGAUGCACUUCGUUAUCCAUGCGCUCAUGUUAUUACAGCUUGUCAAAAUCUCCGUCUGGAUCCGAUGAGUUAUGUGGAUGAAGUGUACAAAUUAGAAAACAUGUACAACAUCUGAAGACACGUUUUUCCACCGGUCCUAGAUAAACGUAAGUGGCCGCCCUUUAUCUCUUGCUCCUUUUAAGCUGUUACCGGAUAGAGAAUUUCAUUGUAAACCAAAGGGUCGACCUUGCUCGACUAGAAUACGUAACAAUAUGGAUAUCCGAGAAACAGCCAGUCAACAUAAGUUAUGCGGAUGGUGUAGGAAUCCAGGCCAUACAAGUCGAUCAUGCCCUAAUCGCAAUAGUUGAAUGUAAUUUAAAAAAAAUUAUAUUUUUUUCAAUUAUUAACUGACAAUUGUAUUAAUUGUUAGUAAAAUUAUCUAAUUAUAUCAAAUUAUUAAUUGUUAGUACUAGUCAAAACAUUUUUCCAAAUAUAACAUUAUGUGAAUAUAAAAUUAUUAAAUGAUAAUUGUAUUAAUGUUAGUAAAAUUAUCAAAUUAUAUUUAAGUUAAGGGUUAGGGUUUUUAAGUUAAGGGUUUUGGGUUUUAAAGUUAAGAGUAUAGGGUUUUAAAGUUAAGGGCUUAGGGUUUUAGGUUAAGGGUUAGGGUUUUUAGGUUUAGGGUUUAGGGAUUUUAAUUUAAGGGUUAGGGUUUUUAAGUUAAGGGUUUAGGUUUUUUAAGUUAAGGGUCUAGGGUUUUAAAGUUAUGGUUUAGGGUUUUUAAUUUAAGGGUUAGGGUUUUUAAGUUAAGGGUUUAGGGUUUUUAAGUUAAAGGUCUAGGGUUCUAAAGUUAAGGUUUAGGGUUUUUAGGUUAAGUGUUUAAGGUUUUUAAUUUAAGGGUUAGGGUUUUUAAGUUAAGGGUUUAGGGUUUUUAAGUUAAGGGUCUAGGGUUUUAAAGUUAAGGUUUUGGGUUUUUAGGUUAAGGGUUAGGAUUUUUAGGUUAAGGGUUUAGGGUUUUUACUUUAGGGCUAGGGUUUUUAAGUUAAGGGUUCAAGGUUUUUAAGUUAAGGGUUUAAGGUUUUAAAGUUAAGGUUUAGAGUUUUUAGGUUAAGGGUUAGGGUUUUUAGGUUAAGGGUUUAGGGUUUUUAAUUUAAGGGUUAUAGUUUUUAAGUUAAGGGUUUACGGUUUUUAGGUUAAGGGUCUAGGGUUUUAACGUUAAGGGUUAGUGUUUUAAAGUUAAUGGUUAGGGUUUUUUGGUUAAGGAUUUAGGUUUAGGGUUUUUAGGUUAAGGGUUUAGUGUUUUAAAGUUAAGGGUUAGGGUUUUUAGGUUAAGGGGUUAAGGGUUUUAAGUUAAGGGUUAGGAGUAGGGUUUUUAGGUUAAGGGUUUAAGGUUUGUGAAUUAAAUUAUGUAUUUAAUUAUAAAUUAUAAAUUUAUAAAUUUUUAAUAAGUUAAGGGUUUAGGGUUUUUAAGUAAUAACUCAAAAAUUUUUCUAUUUUAUUAUAUCAAAAAAUAUCAAAAUAUUUGUAGAAAUAAAUUUAAAUACAAAAAUCAAUGUCUGCGCCUGCAGGAUUCAGUGCCACAUGGCGGCCGUCGACGGUUACGCACUGGAUUCCUCCUUUGUCCAGCUUUUGGCGGCGGUUGUGGUUCUUCCGGCGGGGAUUCUGGUUCUUCCAGUAGGGCAUCUGGUUGUCAGAGUUGGGACGAUGAGCCACCUUGAUAGAAUUGUGAAUGUAGACGUGUUUGCAUCACCAACGGAGACGGUGUUUGAAACCCAUACGGUGGUGGGGAUUGGUAAAAAGAAGAGCUCCCCGACGGCCCCUCUUGCGAUCCCUCUUGCGUCGCUGGCCUAUACAUCGGCGGUCCACUCGGCGUAACAGGAAAUGGAGUUGAACUGGGCCAUUUGCUCCAACUUGCCAUAGGACUCGAAAAAGGAAACAUAUAAGGGUUAGGAUACAUAAAAGGGCUAGGAAACUCACCUGUCAUCAUCUGAAAAGGCGGUUCCGUGGGUAUUAUCGGUUGAACUACUGGGUCGGGUGACUGUGUCGGUGCUCUCGUUGGGCCGGGUGAAUGUCUAGGCGUCGUUGAGGGGCCAGCGUCGUCGUCUUGUCGUCUUGGAUUUAAAGGACCACGUCUUUCCCUUUGGACAUGUAAUUGCCGCUGCCUCUCCUCUGGCGAUAGUAAAUAUGGCUUGCCAUGGAUCCUAAACCAUGACAUGUAUUCCGGCACGCACACUAACUCCGGAAUGAUGAUCGGUUCCAUACUAGGUAUAUAGUCAUACCGAUCUUCCCACAUUUGGAUGUACUCGGACCAGAAUCUCGGCCAAUCCGUAUUCAAUUGCCGAAGGUCGAUUUUGUGGUGAUCGUCAAACACCUCAGGUUCUACGAGAAUUGGUUGUCUACAUCCAAAUUGCCGUAACACCUUGUCUGACUGGUGCAUUUCCAUGGUCCCGUAGUUGAUCAACGCGACUUUCACGUGCCAAGUGUUUGGAUUUUGUAAGAACUCUUCCGAAAUUACUGCCCGAAUUGCCGGAUCCUCGUACGGUGUCCAUUGAAACUAUAUGAACAUGAUAGAAAUAUUAGUUAUAUACAUAAUACUAAAUACUAAAUACUAAAUACUAAAUACUAAAUACUAAAUACUAAAUACUAAAUACUAAAUAAUAAAUACUAAAUACUAAAUACUAAAUACUAAAUACUAAAUACUAAAUACUAAAUACUAAAUACCAAUCAACUAGCGGAUGAUGGAAAUAUCAAUUUUAUUUAAUACUUACAUGUGCUUCCGACUGUUGGUCUAAUAGAAGCCAUAUAUCUUCAAGAGAGGUAGGUAAUCGAGCAUAACUUGCAAGAUGGUUCCACCUAAUUAAAUAAAUUUUUAGCAUACUUUUAUUUUUAAAAGUCUACAUAAUAAUUGUAAAAUUUAAUAUAAAAUUUACCUCGUUAUCAGUGGGAAUGUAUAUGGGUGGUCCACUUGAGGACGUAGAAAUGGAAAGUGAAACCGUGCCCAUGACUGCAGUAGGGACAGGCAACCUCCGAUUUUUUCUUUCCUCGGUCGCGUCGCCCUGCACAUCUCCCUAUAUAACGUUGUCGAGACGGCAGACCCCCAACUCAAUUCACCAGAUGCUCUAAAAUCAACGAGUUUCAGCAGCCAUCUUAGAUGUACGCGGCUCCGUGACAAGUCGGGCAUCAGAUAACCUCCAAUUAACUGAAGAAUGUAUGCCCGAACAUAUCGGAUUCUUUCUAUUUCGGUUGAAUCUUCAUUCGGAUCCGAGAAUGUGUCUCGUAACCAGCCCAUCUCGAUCUUACCUCCCUCCAUUUUCUUCGGAAUAGCGCCCAAAAGCUCGUAGCACACUGCAAGCCAAUCGCUAGAUUGGGCAGACCCGGUGACUGGGUACCCCUCCACCGGCAAUCCCAAUUGCAGACUGACAUCUUCCAAAGUGAUAGUGCACUCUCCACAUGGAAGAUAGAAUGUGUGCAUCUUGGGUCUCCUCCUCUCGAUCAACGCACUAAUUAGUUUCGGGGUCCACCUUGCAUCCUCGGCCUACCGUCGCCACGUGCCAAAAACCCGCUUCCCGCAGGUAGUUCUCUACCAACAGUGAUGGAGGAGCAUGCAUAUUCCGGAUAUUGCAUUCUAAUAUCCAAUCUACAGACUUUUAUAACAAAUAAUAAAUUAAUAAUUAUCUAAAAAUGCAUAAAUAAAAAAUUCUUAAAUAAUAUUUAAAAAUUAAAUUUAACGCUUACCAUUUUCAUUUGUUCCACCGAUAUGUGAUGCUUAUCAAGACGAGUCAAAUCUCCGGCCAUUGCUAAAAUCGUACAAAUUUUUACGGUUUAAAAAAUUUUAAAAAAAUAAAAAAUUUUAAAAUUAUUUAAAAAUAGGGAUUUAAGAGAAAUUUAAGAGGAACUUUAGAGCAAAUUGAAAAUAAAUAUGGAUUUGAGAGAAAUUUUGAAGGAAAUUGAGAGGAAAUUGAGAGGAAAUUUAGAAGAAAUUGAGAGGAAAUUUGAGAGAGGAUUAGUUUAUGAAAAAAAGGGGUGGGGGUAUUUAUAGUUUUUUUUUGUCCGUUGGGGGGGCAACGAUCAAUUUUUUGACCGUUGCACUGUUCACGCGCGGGGCAAAUCUCGACCACACAAAUCGCGUCCUCUGAAGCGCGAUUUGUUGCCAUGUCAGCAAAGCGGGCUGACGUGGCCGCGAUUUGCUGGCACGUACCCUGACAUCACGCUGACGUGGACGCGAUUUCGGGGAAAAAGGCCCAUUCCGGUAAAUAAUAAAAUACCGAGUCCAUUUCGGUAAAUUUUUAAAAAAUUAAGCUUUUUUUAGUAAAUUGCCCUAAAAAAUACAUUACAACAUUUAUGGACAUGCAAAAAUAAAUACUCAAUCCCAAGAGUUUCAACUUUCUAGUUCAUGUUCUGCACAUUCAAAUAAAAAGCAUAUAUUAUAUUAUUAUAGAUGUGCGUUAAUUAGGAAAUAAUAUAAAUUUUAAAGAUUAAAAUGCAUCUCUAAAUUAAAGAUGAUCAGAUGGAGGAAAGGUUGCACAUCAAACAUACUAAACAAAUAAAAAAGUAUACGUUGAUUCAAAAACAAUCCUUCAUACAAGGUUUAUAACAUAAGUGUUGCACUGAAACAUACUUGAUCAAUUUUAACAAGAAUUGGAAACAAAGCUAGAUGUUUUAAUAUGCUUACUACUUCUUUUAUUAGUUUUUGAUUAAUGAUUAAUCAAAGAUGCUAAAUUUAAUCAAUUAAUUGAAAGAUAUGGCUAUGGCUUUUUUUCAAUAGGCAACUUCUUAACUAAAUAUAUAACGCUUGAUUCGGUUGAAAACAUAUCACUUGUAAUCAUUUGAAAAAUAUAUAAGCUAUGAAACAUUUUAAUGCUGCUUAAAAAAACUAAGGUUAAAAAAUGUCAAUGAAACUAAACUCUGAUGUUCAAGAAUUAGCUCAUGAAUUCAAAGUUGGAAUAAUACCAUUUCUCUUUUUCUUUUUGUGUUCAUCUAAACAUCUUAAACUUUCGGGACUAACAAAAGAUUCAUCAAAAGCUCCAAUCAAACAACUUGAUAAUCUUUCCAAAAUAUUAUAUUAUAUAUAAAACAUACAUACAAAAUUAAUUAACGCUACCCCUACUACCUAUCGAACACAAAAUUUUAUGCAGAAAAAAAACCUUAGUAUCUAACCUUUGAAGCCAAGAGUACACAAAUAAAGAACCCAAAGAGUUUGCAACAUUUAGAUUUUGGAGCAAGAAGAGCCCAAUAAAAAACAUUUCACAACAAAGAAAGAAACAAUAAAGAGAUAGGAAAUUACAAGCGACCCUCAUAUUCCCACAAAAGAUCUGUAUUUUGUAGAGGGUUCUUUGGUGGAGAGAGGAAGCGAUGCAAACAAGUGAAUGGGAUAUAGAAGAAAAAAAUAGCGAGAAAGAUUAGAACAAAUCCGAUAAUAUUGAGAGCAGUUGUAGGUGGUGGUUGGUAAAGUGGAGAAACAAAAAGUUGGCUGACGAUCAAGCUCAACAAAGAAACAAGUAGAAAGAAUUUCAAAGAGAAUGCUUUGAGAGUCCAAAGUGCCAAAAUUCCUUUCACCAAUUGUGAAAGCUUUUAUUUAUGGUGUCUCAAAAAUGAGAGUGACAAAAUUGAUAAUUAAUGGGAAUAAUGAAAUUAAUAUUUUUUCAGUUACAAAGGUAUUAAUGGUUCUUUUUAUUAUUAAAGGAUUUUGUUGAUGAUGCUGAUGAUAAGUAGCAAACAAGAGUUCAAUAUGUUUCUAAAAAAAGGGAAAACCACUUAGUGUUACAAGAAAAUGUUAAGAGGAAACAUCUUAACUACCUUCAUAUAUGAUCCAUCAAGCCAAGUUUUCUGGAACAUCCCAAUAGUAAAGACAACCCAAGAACCUUGCCAUAUUUUGAGGUUAUUCCACUUUUACUUUGGUGAAGCAACACCCUGUGAAACAUCUACCGCAAAACAUCUCUUAGAAUGAAAGGCGAUGGAUGCUCUUGAAUAAGAGUUGUUAUUGAAUAAGAUUUAUUCUGACUUGUUCCAAACGCGAGUUGUUCUCAACAUAGUUGUUCUAAGAAAAAGUUCUAUGGUGAUGCUUUUUUUUGAUAAAGCUUAUUCUGAAUAAUGGCUCUUCCAAAAAGAAAAAACACAAUUACUCUAAAUACAAGUUGUUCUAAAGAAUGAUUGUUCUAAACAUAACUAUUCCCGGAACACUAUUGUUCUAAAAAAGAGUUGUUCCAAACUUUAAUUGUUAUUACAAGUUGUUCUAAACAAUGAUUGUUCUAAAUAUAACUAUUCUCGAAACACUAUUAUUCUAAAUAAGAUUUGUUUUGAACUUUAGUUGUUAUAACUAAAGUCCUGUUCUAAACAUAUCUAUUCUAGAUAUAACUAUUCUCGAACAACAGUUGUGUUGAACAACAACUAUUUUAAACAAGAGUUAUUGCUCCGAAAGAGAUAUUAAAUGAAAUGACAAUACUAAUUAUUUGACACUUGAUAAUCCAUUUUUUGAAAUAUAAUAUUAUUUUCCUCAAAGAAAAAAAUAAAAUGUUUAUAGUCAAAACUGAGUAUUUAAAAAUUAACAUAAAAACAAGAUGAUUCUUUGCCUCCAGUCCACCUUUGGAAGUGAUGGAGGUGACUAUAAGGAGCUGCACUUCGAUUAUAAAACUAGUUAGACUUAAUCCUCAAGACAAAUGGUUUUUUUUUUUGAGUGAUAACCAGUUGGAGCAUUUAUUAAAAAAAGAAAAGUAAACUGACAGUAAUAGUUGUAAAAACCAAUAAACAAAGCCAACAACAAGUUAAAAGAAAACCAACAAAAACCAAAAGCUUCCAGCCUAGAAAAUGAAAUUGAUCCCCUAAUAGUCAAAUAGAGACACGAAACCUCAGGAUAUUUCCAAGAAACAAGAGCGAGUCCAACAACAAACUUCUGGAAAAAUCAAUUAAGAUCCCCUCCCCUAAACCUCCAUCUCUGAUUUCUAUCUUAGCAGUGACCAUACAACCUUGAACCAAAAUAACAUCCCAACCUUCUUUCUUCUCCUGCGAAAAUCUCCUUUCACCUUUACAGACCACAAAAACCAAGAAGAAAGAAUUUUGUUCAACCAGGAUCCCUCCCGUUCCCCUUCCCACCAGCUACAUGGGCACCGUAAUGAUCUAGAUCCAACGCCUCCACUAAAUAGCUCUGGACAUAAACACCUAGGUUCAUACUUUCUCCCCUCUUCAACCCUUUCCUAGCUAGGAUAUGAGGCAUACUAUUAGCUUCCCGGGAACAUAGGCAAAACGACAAUAUUUGAACAUCCUCGCCUCCGAUUUCAUAUCUUGAGUAUACUCCCCUAUAACCGAGCCAUCAACAAAACUUAGAUUCACUUUCUUUAUCACCGAGAGCGAAUUACCUUUCACCACAAUGUCCCUAAUCCCUAGAUUUAUCCCCAAUCUAAUUGAUUGAAGCAUACGAGAGUUUCAGUAGCAAAAACCGACGAUAUGUGUUCAUUGACUAUUGCUUUAAAACCAAUUACCCGACUUCUACCGUCUCUAACAAUUAUCCCUCAACAAGACUUUAAGGACUGUACUUGAAACACCGCAUCAAAAUUUACCUUAAAGAAAGGCUCCUCCGAUGGCCUCCAAUGUUCAUGCCCAACUCUCGGUACAUGUAACUUCUUUUCAAUUCCAUCAAGUUCUUGUAAAUAAGAUGGUAUCUUAGUAAAAAUGUUUUGUGGUGAGGAAAAUGAUUUGUCAUAAACCCAUUUGUUCUUUUCAAACCAGAGAAACCAUAACAUACAUGCAACCAAUCGACAGGUAUGAUUCGAUAAAAGCUAGAUUCACUAAUCAACCCGUCUUGGGGUAAAAACUUCUUUCACUUACGUUUUCUUCCACUUAACUCUUGUACAUAGGAAAUGAGAUUUUUUUUGUCUAAUUUAUUGCGAAUUUAACGCUGCUUUCUUUCACUCAUAUAUAACUAUCUAAUUUAGUUUAUCAACUCAACUUAUUUUCUAGAACAAAAGGAAUAGGUAAAAUAAAAGUUUCUAUUUCAAUGAAUCGUAUGUAGAGAUAUCAAUAAAACACAUAGAGUUAAUGGUAUUUCAUAACUAAUUGAUUGAGCUGGUAUUGAACAUGUACUACAACUAGUCUUGCAAAGAUAAAUCACAUAUCUCAUUGUCCCAUUUUAUAUCCAGCAGGCCCUAUCCCUCAGCUACAAAUAGACAAUCACGAAUGCCAUGUUCCAAAUUCUCUACACCCCUAGCGCACUAGGUGCAAACCAUAGAUCCAACUAGCCUUUUGUUGUAUAAAUUGUAAAAAUUAGGGAUUAGAUUAUUGAAAAUACGCCAUACUGUAAUUUUAAUCUUUUCUGGAAAGUUAACCUUCCAAAUCUUCUUAUAGAAAAGAUUGUAGCCAUUAUUGUUAACAGUGGCAUUAGUCAUUUGAAGACCUUGUAAUACUAGCUUGUAGCCACUCCUAAUAGUAUAUUCACUUAAAGGUUCUUCCCCCCAAACAACCAUGUCAGACUAUGGGUUUAAAGUAAGCAAAAUACACAUAAUUUUUCCCACCACCUCAGAGUAAAAACAACUGGUAAUUUUACCCAUAUCCCAUUUUCUUUCAUGUUCUAAAAUCAUAUAAGACACUGUAGUGAAUGACACAUUAUCCCCUAAAUACUGAAUUUUUGGUUCUACUAAUCCAGGAACCUAAACAUCAUCCCAAAUACUGAUUUUGGUGCUUGUUCCCAUUUUCCAACCCAUUCCUUCAUUAAGUAACCCUUCAUAAACCACAUGCUCUUCCAGGUAUAGGAAGGGUAAGUUCCUAAAUUUGCAUCCAAAAAAUAAGUAUUAAGAUAAUAUUUAGCUUUAAGAGGCCUUACUAGUAACGAGCUCUGAUCCUUAAUCAAGCGCCACCCUUGUUUGGCAAGAGGGGCACUAUUAAAUUUACCAAGACUUCGAAAACCCAUACCUCUAUUUUCUUUCAAUUCGCACAGCUUCGACCGCACCAAUGUAUCCCCCGUUUCCCCCUAAAUUUUUGCCACCAUAAUUGACUAAUAAUACAUUCUAAAUCCAAGCACAACGAAGCUGGAAAUAGAAAACAAGACAUCGUAAAAGUGGGAAUGGCCUUUUGCACACUCUUUAUAAAUAUUUCCUUUCCCCCUUGGACAACAACAACACACACUAGCUAUUAAUGUGCCUCUUUAAAUGAUCCUUCAGCCCUUGGAAAGCUCUUUUCUUACUUCUCUCCACCAUAUUUGGUAAGCCUAGAUAUUGCUCAGGGUCGAAAGACAUACUAACCCUAAACAAUCUGAUAUACUUUUCCUCUCCUAUUCCUCAACAUUCGAACUAAAAUAAACUAAAGUUUUAUCAUAGUUCACACAUUGCCCCGACGAAUCCUCAUACUCUUUAAUAAUUUGCUUUAGAGCCAAAGUCCUCUCUAUCGUAGCCCCUCUAAAUAAAAUACAUUCAUCAACAAACAAAAGAUGGGAGACCUCCGGACCACUCUUAUAAAUUCUUGCACCCUUAACCAAUCCAUCUUGGCUUGCUAUGCGCUUUAGAGAAGACAACCCUUUGCUACAUAUUGAGAACAAAUACAAGCUAAGUGGAUCCUCUUGUCGAAGCCCUUAUCCAAGAGAAGAACUCCGCCCCACUUCUCUAUUAAGAAGAAAAGAAUAUGAGACUGUACUCACACAUUGAAUAAUAAAAUCCAACCAAACCCUCGCAAAGCCCAUCUUCAACAUCAUCUUCUCUAUAAACUCUCAUUCCACCCUGUCAUAUGCCUUACUCAUAUCAUGUUUAACAGCAAGGUGCCCUUUCCUUCCAAGCCUUUUCCGCUUAUACACCUCAAGAAUUUCAUACGCAAGGAGGGUAUUAUCUGUUAUUAACCUUCAAAGAACAAAAACACUUUGUACUUCAUCAACACAACAAUUUAAUACUUUUUGAAACUGGUUACCACUGUUUUGGAGAAAAUCUUGUACAACACUGUACAAAGACUAAUUGGACGAAAGUGCUUCAUACAAUUAGGGUUAGACAUUUUUGGAAUUAGAACUAUAUGAGUAUCAUUAAUUUUUGCUAACGAUGUACUUCUCUUGUGAAAAUCAAGACAAAAAGACCCAACAUCCUACCCAACUAUAUGCCAAUAAGUCUGAAAAAAUAAUCUAGGAUAACCAUUAGGCCUCAAAGCUUUAGUAGGCACCAUUGCUUUUAUUGCUGCAAAGAUCUCUUCCCUUUCAUAGCAGGCUGUAAGACACCUAUUCAUAUAAUCCAUAAUGCAUCCUUUCACCCCUAUUAAAAUAUGAUCAGAAUUACACGUACCUUGUGAAUGAAUAUCUCGAUAAAGUACUCAUUAGCAAUGCUAGAUAUUUCACUACUGUCUUUACCGAUUUGAUCAUCACCACUAUCCAACCCUUUUACUUUAUUAGUUCGAUUUUUUUAUGCAGCCCAAUGAAAAAAGCUUGUGUUUUGAUUUUCUUGCUUUAGCCAAUUUACUCAUGCCCUUUGUCCGAAUACAUCUCCUCAUUUUCCAACUCUAAAUUUAGUUAUAUUUUACUCCCCAAAAGGUUCAAAAUAUUGUCCUCAUCCCUAUUCCCCUCGUUAAGUUUAGCAAUUCUUCUACACAAAUUCCUUAUCCUCUUGUCCUUUUCCUUCCUUAACCAAGUAACCUAUGUCUUCAAAUCCAACCCCAACGAAUCAAGACAGUAAGGAACAAUCCCCCUACUGCUUUCCCAAAGCUGAUGAACCUCUACCUCACAAGAUUCCUCCAAUGUCCAAGAAGCCUCACAACGAAAUUAAGCCUCCCUAACCCGCCUCUCCUUUUUAUCUAUAAUCAUGAACAAAGGGCAGUGGUCAAAAAACAAAUGUGAUAGAUGUUGCACAAAAAAAUUGAGAAUUUUUCCUACCAAGAAGAAUUAGUAACCCCUUUAUCCAACCUUUCUCUAAUAUUGUUAUGUUCAAAAUUGCCUCACUCCCAAGUAAACCAAGGUCCUUCAAAACCUAGAUCUUCCAAUUUACAAUCCGUUAGUACCCUUUGGAACUCCUCCAUUCGCCCCUCAUUACGGCUAACUCCCAUUUUCUUUUCAAACGAACAGAGAAUCCAAUUGAAAUUGCUACACAUCAUCCAAGGAAAACUAUGAUCUCUACCUAACCCACGUAAGAGACCCCAUGAAUCAACUCGACUCUUCAAAUUAGGGGAACUGUAAAACCCUAUCAUCCUCCACUUAACAUCAUCCUCAGACUCCUGAAUUACCACAUCAACAUGAUUUUUCGAGAAACUCCUUAAACUAACAACAACCUUAGGAUGCCAACCCAGAUUGAACACACCCCUAGAUCCUUUCUCUAGUACAUCAAUGCCAUUCAAAAUACCUCCAUUCUUAUGCACUUUCUCUGUAACACCCUAACCCAUCUCUGUCUCUAGAUUAGAGUUGCGAAGUAUUACGAUAGUUAACGAAUUCAAUAACAAUCUAAUACAAUUCGAAAAUAAAUUUAAAUAUCAAAUAUUCACAAUCAAUCAUUAUUCAUAGCAUAUAUACGAAUACGUGCCUUAAAUCGAGCUUACAUAGCCCUAAAAUUAGUUUGGAAAUAAAUAGGGACUAAUUAGAAACAAAAUAAAAAAUUUGGGAAAAAACUGAAAACAUGGGUCACACAGCCGUGUGGCUAGGCAUUGUGAUAGAGCCCAGACCGUGUGGCUUAAAGACAUGGCCGUGUGGUCAAACUAUGUAACAACUUGAGUCCGUGUAUCUUAAGGUCACAUGACCAUAUUGCCAGGCCUUGUAACAACCUGAGGCUGUGUGAGCAAUUUUGCACCAAAAAUUAAAUAGGCCACAUGGCCGUAUGGUGUGUCUAUGUGUGACACACGAUCAUGUGGUAGCCUGUGCCCCAGGCUAUGUACACCUAAAUUAACUUCUAAAAUAAGCCAAUUCAUCAAUCAUUUCUUAGGUACCAAGCCAAACCAUUUCCAACCAUUUUUGCAAAUUCAAAACACAUUCAAACAUGCCUAAAACAGACCAAAACAUAUAACUUAUGUGCCUAACCAAUAUGCCCUAAUUGGCACCAUAAGUCAAACACCCAUCUAAUUCACAUUUAAUAAUCACAAGUUCUUACCAUAUAAACAUGUCAAACAUACCAAUUCAUCCAUUUCAUUCACAUCCAUUUUACCAUACCUCAAACCACUUUCAAAACCAAACUUUCAAGAGCAUGAAUCACACCACUUAUAUAUGCAUGAGCAUACCAAACUAAAAGUACCUAUUAAGAAGAACAUUUACCAUAUUUGCAAAACCAAACAUAACACAACAUAGUUAUUCACACAUGAUCUUUAAACUCCUAGUACAUUCCAUUUAUAACCAAACCAACAUGAUUAAACUUCUACCGAGUCAAAGAACGGAUAGUGUGCACUCUGACUUGAACUUCCAACUAACCUUGACUUUCAUUGACCUACAGAGAAAGAAAUACAACAGACAUAAGCAAUGAAUGCUUAGUAAGCUUGUAUAUUAACGUAAAAUCAAACUUACUGAAUAAGAUUCAACUAAAAAAUUCAUGCAUAAAAUUUAUUAAAUAACUCAUAAGCUCAUUUGUUUCCUAUGCACACCAAAAACCUCACAAGGUUAGUGAGUUCACAAAUAUGAAAUUUAUAACCAUAUCAUAACAUAACAUUUAUAAAUUUCAUAUAUAACUCAAUCAUCUCAUUUUGUUUCAACAUCUCACAUUUUCAUUUUAAGAAUCCAUGUCAUAAAUAUAUUUCCAUAUAUCUAUUUCAUAUAACUCCUUCAUAUAUCUUUUUAUACUUGAUGAACCAUAGUGAAAUAACAUUGGAUACGUGGGAAAAUGCUCAUGUGAGUUGUGCCAGUAAAUGCUGACACGAGCUAUAACUGUAAAUGCUCACACGAGCAGUGAAAUGGGCCUACUCAUACGAAUUGUGGGUUAGGAUGUUAAGCUGCAUAAUGCUACUCACACAAGCUGUGGAGAAUCCGUAAUAAAUGCAAGACCUCAACCAUUGCAGGACAUCCAAGAGCAGCACCAAAAACUUUAAUAACCCUAAUGACAUGUCAUUUUUAUCCUAGCACUCACAAGGUUCAAACGAGCCAUGUUUCAUAUCCAAAUCAUAUAAUUAUUUACACAUUAUUUUAUCGCAAGUACUUAUACAUGUAAUUUCCCAUUUUCAAUUAUAACCUUCAAUUUAGCUAAUAUUAUAAUUUAAUCCAAAUCACUGAUUGUCACAUAACAAUCACUUUAAUCUAUACAUAACACAAAUAUUAAUUAAUAUUUAACCCAAAAUAGCAAUUAAUAAUCGUAAUAAAUAUACAAACUUAUCUAGACAAAGACGGUUAUGAAUACGAUGCCAACGACUAUUCCGCUAACUUAGCUUUUCCACGGUUUGAGUCCGAUUGAUUUGUUUCUUGAUCUAAAUAAUAAUUUUCAUUCAAUUAAUCUAUUCAAAUAAUUUAAAUAAUCAAACUUAUGCUUAUAAGCCAUUUUAUUAUCAAUUUAUAAAAUUACCCCAACAUUUUACCCUUUAUGUAAUUUAGUCCCUAUACCCGAAACUUACAAAUAAUCACAUUUAACCACAACCCAUGCUAGCUGAAUUUCUUAAGGUCUCUCUACAGCCCAUAUUUAUCAUGAUUUCUUAAAAAUUUCAUGAAUUUUUACCAUUUAAAUAAUUUAGUCCUUUAACAUUAAAAUUACUAAAAACUACUUUACAAAAUAGUCAUAUUUAGCUAUUAAGCUUAUAAAACUACCAUGAAACUUUUAAAACUUCACAAAAUCAACAAUGACACAUUUCAAAAUAUUUAACAGUUUUAUGAAUUAACUCCCGGAUUAGUUAGAUUAAGCUACAACGAUUACAAAAAUAUAAAAAUCAUUUACCACAGAUUAAAAUUUCAUACCAUGCACUUGAAUUUAGCCUAGCCGAAUUCCAAGCUCCUUUAAUGGUUUUUUUGCUCUUAAAAUUUCGGUAAUGGCCUAAGGAAUAUGAUGACUUCUUUUUUACUUAAUUUUGUUUAAGUUUUAUUUAUUUAUUUACCUUUUUACCCUUCUAAAAAUAAUAUAAUAUUUAACUAAACGAUGACCAUAAUCGUCCACCAUACUUUAAAUAGGUUGAAAUACCAUCAUUUCAUGCUUUUACAAUCAUUAAGCACAUAUAAAUUAAUAGCGAUGAAUUUUUACAGAUUUUACGAUUUAAACUUUUUUACUCAAUUAAUUAUCUAAACGUUAAAAUUUCUUAACUAAAUUUUAGUACAACCCUUUAAUAAUCAUAUAAAUAUUAAAAGAUUGACUCAUUAGUCGAAAUUGUGGUAUUGAAAUCAUAAUUUUCGACACCACUAAAAAUAAGUUGUUACAUUCUCCAUUCUGAUCAAAUUAGUCUCCAUAAAGAAUAAAACUUAGGGGUUAUGAAGUUUCAACAUUUGCUAAAGCCUCUUAUUAGCUCGUGGACUCCACAAUCCACUAACAUUCUAACACAUGGUCUUCAUUGUUGUUGGCCGACCUGCCCCUUGGUGGUCACCGAUAAUUUAACCGAUAAUUUAUUUUGGUAAGCUAAAGAUCGCUCACCGCCUUUCUCGUUAGAAUCGUCAGAAUCCGAAGUCUCAGAAACUUCAUCAGAGAAAACAAUUGUUCUUUGCCUUUUAUUACCAUCCAUAUUAUCAAUCGGGUUUUCCUCUAGAUCAUGAAGCAUUGGAUCCUACCCAGAACCUAUAGAGGAACUCCCCUCCCUUCCAAAUCCUUCCCUUGAUCUACCUUCUAUAUUCAUUCCCAACGCCCGAAUUAUAUCACUCAUUCCCUCAGACACGGGAAAACCCUUUGCAAACCUUCCACCAUCUAAUUCCAAAGAAUCGUCAACCGAACCUACCACACUCCCUUCUCUUAACCACACACUCUCAACUAUAACAGCUCGCCUUGCCGGAAGAGCCCGUAAUGAAAUAUCCCACCUCAGUUCCAUUUCAUUUACAUCUAUUCUUAAUCGGAUCGGGCAAAAACUAUUACUAUGCCUCAAGAAACCACACAAAAAACAAAACGUAAGUUUUUCAUACUGAAACCUUACAUAAGUAUGACUAUAAGGGGAUAAUUAGAUCUUCUUUCUUCUUUCCAAUGGAGAUCUAACAUGGAUUCUUACCCUAAUGCGCAUAAAAUGUUUAAAUCACCGAGUUACUUGCUUCAAGUCAUACUCCUCAAACACCCCCCAAAAUUUCCCAACUGUUUUGCCACUAUUUCAGAGUAAAAGCCAAGGGGCAAAUCUUGAACUUGAACCCAAAAAAUAAGAAUAAAACAAAAUCACCAACAACGAGUCCUCCAUAUUCCGUAACCUAUGAAACACCAAGAGAUGAUUAUUACAUGUGCAGGGCGCCCCUUUCAUCAAUGUUUCAAUGUCCACCAGAUGAAAAAACUGAAAUAAAAAUCGCCUCUCCACCAUAUUCAAAAUCUCAAUGCCCCCUAAUGGAUGCCAAAGAUUCGCCAAAGUAUUGCGCAUCGCCUGAAAUUGGAUCACAUUGACUAUGAAGAAACAACCCACAAGACAAAAAUCAUACAUUCUAUUUUAGCCUUCAGAAACUCCCGCAACCUGCAGCAGUUCCUCUUCCUCCUCAUCAAUGAUACGCAGUCUUGCCAUUCCAUUCUCUAUUGAAAGAUUCACACACACACUCGACAGCCCCCACGGAAAUCACACUAAAACAACAAAACAACUAAACACAAGAUCCAAUAGAGUCGAAAAAAAAACCCUAACAAAAUGACAAGAAAAAAACUUAGAGACAUACUACUUUAGAGCAGACAGAGAUGUGCUAUAAGGCAAACUUCUAGUUUUUUUUAUUGUCUACUUUAGAGUAGACAGAGACACGUCAUAAGACACAUGGUUUAAGAACUCUGCAAAUGAAAAAAAAACAAAAGGGAAAAAUCUUAGUCAUAAAAACAAGGUUCAAAGAAUGUCACUUACGAAAAUUUAUUAAUGAACUAAAACUAAAAAUAAUUAGUCUCAUUAGGUUUUUUAAAAUAAUCUAAUUUAAUUAAUUAAUUAUGAAAAUGAUUCAAGCGAAAAAUCUAUAUGACAAUGAGUCAAUUAUCGGCUUUUUAGAAAAAGAAUUUUUUUGGGUACCACUAUUGUACCAGAUGACACCCAUAUGUACUUUUUGUAAUGCCCGUGAAAAAUACGGGUAUUCAUGGUAGAGAAAAAAAAGACUUUUUUUUAAUGGGUGCCGACGACUUGGGAAAUUUUCAAAAAAAAAAGUUGGUUGACGCUGGUAUGUCAGGCGACAUCGAUAAACAUUUUACAAAAAUAAUUUUUUUGGUGUCGCUGGUAUAUCAAGUGACUCCCACUAAAAUUUUUAAAAAAGAUCUUUUUUUAGGUGCCACCGCCAUGUCUGGCGGCACAUGUGAUAUUAGAAAAAAACGUUGUAAAAAGAGUAGUUCGAAGCUAUGGUCAUUGUUUUAGAAGAUUUUGAGCUGGCUAUUUCGAGAUAUGAAUCGUAGAAGUUAGCAAGGAGGAAAUAUCUUCUUUAGUGUCAAAAUUGGCACGAAAUGCCACCAUAAAUGGUGACGUCGGUAGUUAUUGAGUAGGGUUUUCAAUUGAGAAAAAGAGGCAAAAGAAAAGAAAUAAAAUAAAAAACAAAAAAAAAAACAAGGUGAAAAGAAGAAACAAAGAAAGAAAAAUAAGAAAAAGGAAAGUUAUGUGAAUUUUAAUGAGAAUUAAUUGAAAAUUUGAAUAAAACAAUAGAAGAAUUUAAUUUCCAUAACCCAAGUUGUAAAAUUAGAGGGAAAAAAAAUAUUCAAUGGGGGAUUAAAUGGAAAUUUUGAAGUUGGUGACAACUUUUUAAAAAAUAUAUUUAAAGAAAAAUAACAUUUAAUAAGAAAUUUAAUGAGAAUUAAAUGAGAAUUUUAAAGUUGGUGAUAAGUGAUAAUUUUUUAAAAGAAAUAUUUAAUGAGUAAUUUAAAAUUGGUAACAAAUUUUUAAGAGAAAUAUUUAAAGGAAAAAAAUACUUAAUAGGAAUUAAAUGAGAAUAUUGAAGUUGGUGACAAUUUUUAAAAAAAUAUUUAAAGGAAAUAAAUAUUUAAUGAGAAUUUUAAUGGGAAUUAAAUGGAAAAUUUAAAUUUGGUGACCUUGUUGAUUUUAAAUGUGGGAAUUUAAUGGAAAUUAAAUGUUGAUUUUAAAGUUGGUGAUAACUUUUCAAAAAGCAUUUAAAGGAAAAAGUAUUUAACUGGAAUUUUAAUAUUUAAAAAAUUAUUUAAAGGGGACUCAAGGGGACUCAAGUAAAUAAGGUUACCACCAAAGAGGUGUGAUGUGCCAAAGCGUAAUCAGUUAAGCCAUCAGCUACAGCUUAAUGAAAGAUGAGUUAAGGCCCAAAAGUAUGCUAGGGCAAGGUAAGUGUGCCCAUGUGUGUUAUUUUAUAGCUGCCGUGCAUUUACAUGGUAAAUCACAAGGAUUAAGAUACGUGUCAAACAUCUAACGAGAUAAGAGAAAAUAUCUAGCUGACCGGAUAAGUGAUAGAAAUUGUGCUCUUACUUCCUCAGGAAGUAUUCCUUGUCUAUAUAAGGAUGUGCUGAUGGGGAAAUCCUUUCACCCUUUAGGAUGAAUCUGGAACGUGGGUUAAACUCUGGUUUUGUUAAGAAGUUUGCCUCUUGUCAAGGUAAGCCCCCCGAUUCUACUUAUUGAAAAUACAAAUCUGUAAGUAUGCAUGACGAAAUGAAGCUAUGUCUGGGUUAAAAGUGAUGAUAAAGGCUACCCAAAUGAGCUCGAAUGAAAUGUUUCUGUCUGUUGAGGGAAAAAUAGGCUGCGGUGCCUGGCUAGAAAAAGGAUCUAAAGUUUAAGCUGCCUUUGAAUCUAACACGUGAGUUUCUAAACUGACUCUUACUUCCAUGUUUCCAUGCUAAAUCUUGUAUGUUUUGAAAGGCUAAUCUAUGAAAUAAAAAUUUAAGAUAUGCAAGUGUGAUGUUUAAAGUGGAUGUGUCUCUGUUAUAAAGAAAAGUAUGAAAACGAUGAAUGUGCAAGAAAUCAUGGACUAAAUGAUAAGUCUCUGUUCUGUUAAGAAGUAUGUACAUACAUAAACACGCCUAAAAGCACAAUUCUAUUUCAGCUUAAGUAAGUUUCUAUCAUGACUACGUCUCUGCAUAAGGAGUCAAUGCAUGAGUUACAUAAGUUUGCAUGUUGAGUUUGUUUACGUGUGCGGGUUCAUUGGGACUAUAAAUACAAAUUCUAAUAUGAAAGUCCAUGGCCAUAGCAAGAAGACCAUAUAGUAUAAGACCUAGUCUGGGACUAUGACAUCAUAUAGGAAGUGAGAACCAUAUAGUGUAAGACCUAGUCAUGGUGGCUAUAGGAUCAUAUGGGAAUAUGAAGACCACAUAGUGUAAAAUCUAGUCUUAGACUAUUGCGUCAUCUAGGAAAAAGAUAAAUGACGGUUGGGCGAGUACUAGGUGAUGAGGGGCAAACCUCAUAGGGUUGAGUUUAGGCAAAUCUCUAUCGUCAAAAACAUCAGUUACCAAAAUGUGUUAGCCUUUGUGGCUGUUCUCUGAUAAGUGGAAGUCUCUGUGGCUGUUCUCUGUUAUAUGCAAGCCCUAGUGGUGGAAUCUGUUAUAUGUGAGCCCUAGUGGCAGAAAUUUUUAUAUGCAGAAGCUUAUAUGGCUAUCUGAUGUUAUGUGGAUGUUCUUUUUGCUAUCUAUCUAUUUGGAAGGCUUUUCGGCUAUCUUGUGUAAGUUAUAUGGGCACCUUUGUGGCUAUCUUGAGUAAGUUUUGUGGUGGCCUUUUCGGCUAUCUUGUGUAAUAGAGGGAAUAAUAUGGUUAUCUCCUUUGCGGCUAUCUUGUGUAAUAGAGGGAAUAAUAUGGUUAUCUCAAAGGAAGAACACACCUUCAUGGUUAUCUGGUUAAUGAAAUACCAACAUGACUAAGUCGGGGUAAAAGACUCUUUGAAUGAAAGGUAAAAGUAUGGUAUUAGAAACCUGACAAGUGUCAAAAAUGAGGUGAUGAUCAAGGGAAAUGGUCACUACGGUGAAAGAGGCCAAAAUGAAAAAUGUGGUGAGCAUGAGAAGACUAAGGACUUGAUAUGGAUAAGAGGAUGGAGAAGUAAUGAAUGAUGCAUGUAGUAUGCUACUAAGGAAGUUUUAGUUGAUCGCGUAUGAAUUGCACCAAACAAAAUGGUAAAGUAAAGUACCUAUCCAAGAUUACGCAAAGUGUUUAGUAUGCUAAUGAAACAGGUAAUAGAGAUUCACUAAGUUUUCAAGAACCUACAUCAGUUAUUUCCUAUUUCAGGUUGCAACGGAGGGACGAUGCCGAAGCUACACCAGAAGAGGGGUGAUUCGUGUUGAUAUGCAUACAGAGGAGAAAAGAUAUAUGGUGAAGCUAUAAUCUAUGCCAAGAAGAUAAAAAAGAACAUGAUACGUGAAAAGAAACAAGGAUAUGUAUCAAUGCCAAGUAUAUGAAAUGCCUUAUGGUGAAGUCUAGUCUGCGUAUAACUUAUAGUACUAUGAUCUUGUAUUUGGUAAAAGCGAGGCGUAGUUUUAUUUUAUAAACAUGAAUGCAUUGUAUACAAAGAUAUUCUUAAUAAAAUACACGAGGUUAUUCAGUAUAAGAGUAAAUGAAAGUAUAAAAUUUUUAUUAAGCCAUCAUUGGAAUAGUUACAUAGGCCAAUAGAAGGGUCUAGGUUACAUUUGUUUAGGAAGUAACACACGAAACUUGUAUUCGGUUGAUUAGGUCGGGUGGAGGGUGUUACAAAAGCUAUAAAAAUAAUUCCUAGGCUCCUAUUUUCUCCUAAUAGUAUAAGCCCUAAGUCAUAAGUAGCUCCGUGUGGCUAUGCGAACUGUGCGGGUAGCACUCUAAUGAUGUCUGCACCAUUAUCAGCAUCAACUUGCCUCCAUCCAUUGGGACUAGAUUUAAGAGGCAGUGUUGAAACACAUUUCUAACUGUUAGCACUUCCUCCAAAUCUAGUAAACGACCCUUGCGAAGUCUAUAAUACUGUCCCUAACCUACUUUAGACAUAAUCUCUCGCUUCUUGAGACCCAUACCCUUACUAGUAUCGACCCUUCAGUUGGAAUGUAAAAGCCACCAUUAAGCUUGUACUUAACCCAUAUGUACUUGCAGUGGUUUAGGAGAAGGUUCAAAGACUAAUUUGAAAUGAUUGAUUCUACAUCUUGGUGAGGAGAGAAAUAAAAUAAACCUACCGAACCCCCUCAAUUGCAUGCUUUUAGUAUAUACAAGUUCUGAAAAACGGUGAUCAAUGGCAUUUCCUACCACCGACUGCAUUAAAUGAAAUAUGUCAUUGCGACCUACCACGAAAAGCUAGAUAAUUGUCCUAUAGUUAUCCUGUAUCCAUUGAUAAGGUGGCAGAAGAAAGGGUGGAGUUGUAAAUGGAAACUUGCCUCUAUCAUGUGCAAUGGAAGUAAAAAAAUAUCAUCGGUGGUAUCACUCAAGUGAUUCAAUCUUCGAUGAUUGAGAAGUCAUAAAAAAAUUUGGCUAUUUGAAUCCCCCAAGCAGCCAAAAUGCGAUUAAUUUCUUCUUCCUUCAUGGUACAAACAUAAGCCUUUGCCUCUAUCGGAGUACUCACUUUAGGAUGUCGCGGAGGGAUGUCGUAAAUAACACGACUGCUUUUUCUAGUCCUAACCAUUGUGUUUUAAUAAACCCAAAACAAAUACAAGAGCGAUGGAAAUUUUAAACAAAUUACCUAUGAAAUUGUUCUUAUCAACAAUGGCUUCUCCUCCAAAAUCUCAGAUUCAAACAAAGUAAUUUUUAAGGCUUAGGUUGCUUCUUUUUAAAAGGUUUUUUGCACAUUAACAAUUCAUGUAUCUAAGAACAAGGGCAUAAUUAGCCGCAUACAACUGUACAACUUCUUAACUCGUAUCGAAGUGUACAUUACAAGUUAAAAUAUAAUGCGUAUCUAAUAAUCUUCUCCUUCUAUGACCUCUCAUAUCAUAAAAUCAUACCAUGUCACAUUUAUGAACAAUAACCAUACCAUGAGAUCGCACGAUGUAGGUUCGCACCAUCAUAUAGGUGAACGUACAUUAUAUAAUUCUAUGAGACUGUAGAAUGUAGGUUUACACCAUUAUAAAGGUGAACCCAAAUCGUAUAAACACGUGUUAACCUUAGAUUAGGGUACAUGUCGACGUGCAUGGUAACCUACCUACGAUGUCACAUUUAUGAACAAUAACCAUACCAUGUAAACACAUAGUUUAACCCAUCUGAAGGGGACACACUAUAAAACACUCAAUAGGCUCGAAUCGACACGACAGGUUUUCGGGUUCGAACUUAUUUUACCAGCUCUAUGAUGUAUUGUCCUUAUUUGUUUUAAACCAUGUGACAAAAAUAUUAAUCAUUUAUAUAUAAUUCUUUUUUUGAAAGGUUAUUUAUAAUUUCAAUCCAUUGCAAUAAUUUCUUUUAAUUUUAAUGUCAUAUUUAAAAAAUAAUUUAAUUAAUUAUAUUCAUCACAAAAUAUUAUUACUAUUUAUUAUUUUAAUAUUUUCUAAAGAAAUUUUUGUCACAAAGUGUUGUCGAGAAAUAAGAUCAAAACUUUAUGGUGAUAUUUGUGAUGGGAUAUGAUUGUUGUCACAUUUUCAUCACUAAAUCUUGUCACACUAAAUGGUUCUAGAUGUUAUUUUUGUUACUAGGUCGUUGCUAAUCUGUCACUGGUAAUCUAUAAUAGUAACGAAAAAAAUUGCCACUGUUAAGACAUUUUCUAGUAGUUUUUAACUAUUCGUUUUAAGUAAAUAAAAACUUUCAGCCAUUAAAUAUAUAUUAAUAUGGACAAUAUUUUAGAUCGAUAUGAUAGAGAUAUUGGAUCGAUUAAAAAAUUUACAUAUAUGACAAGUUCAAAUAUCUUGAUAAAUUAAAAGGUUAGAUUGUUAAAAUAUUAAUCAUAUAAAAAAUUAUUAAAAAAAUGUUAAACCACUUAAAUUUUACACUAAUGCAAGUGAAUCCUUUAUCAUUUAUAAUUGCACUAAUGCAUUUGAUUUGUUUGAAAAUUUGAAAUGAUAAUUUUGUUCAUAUACUUUUGUAGAGUAAUUUUCCUUUGUAUCCCAUUAGAGGGGACAAUCGAAUCUUUAUAUACAUAGCUACUGUUCAUAGAAUUUAUGCUCUUAACAGACUCUAUGCAUGCUAGACACGUAUACUACUCUAGGCUACCUGUUGGACACUCCUUGGGCUCCUAUGAAUCGAGACCUGCGAUCUCCCCUUGCGAACUCCUCCUUCUUGUGCGACCAACAUACUCUAUGCAUGCUGGACACGUGUGCUACUCUGGGAUACGUACUGGACACACCUUGGGCUCCUAUGACCUGGGACCCUCAAGCUCCCCUUAUUGGGCCUAAAGAGGGCUAUAAAGUGGUGCUCUUUAGGGCUAUCACUUCUCAUUUACACAGCUUGCUGAAUACCCAAUGACCAUUGGGACAUGACAUUAUUUUUUCGACAUGCAUGGAUGGAUUGUGUCCAUUCGUAUCUGACUAUUGGUAUUCCUCAUUCAUUUGAACCGUCAAAAUGUGAGGGUGCGAAAAUUGUUGAAAAAUGGAUUUUGGGAAUCCUAAAUUCAUAACUCUUAUCCUUUUUCUAAAUAGGCUUGACUGAAACCUUCUCUGAGGUAAAAUCUUCUAUCCUUUUCUUACAUUUAUCUUUUUUUCUUUCCUUUUUAUCAAAAACAUGUCAAGAAUGAAGAUGCUGGUGGUCGAUUGAUUCCCAGUUUUUCAUCAUGAGAGCGUGCUUCGAAAAACCUUAUAGCAGCCAAUUUCUUUACUUGUACUACAAAAGAAGAUGAAAUGCGAUGAUUUUUGCAUACGCAUAGUAUCCAAUCCCUAAUUUUUCCUAUGAGUUUUCCAUCCUUGAGGGGCGAUACUAGCGGUGGCAGCUUCUUGCUUCCUCUCCAUGCUUUGGAAGCUGGGUUCUACUUACCCUUACACCCGUUUUUCUACUAUCUCCUUCAAGAAUAUCAGAUCACUCUUGGCCAACUUUGUAGGUUCUUUUGGUGGAUUGUGGUGUCUUACUUUACUGACUGUUGUUGACGUAAAGAAGCACCAUAGCUCGCCGUGUUCCAAGGCUUAUAUCUACUAAAGGCUCAAAAUUGAGAGAACUCAUCAGGAUUUUACUAUUUUUCCCCUCGCGAUAAAGGCGAUACUAUAAUCACGAAGUGAUUUGUUAAUCUUUGACUAAAUUGGGGAAACUAUAUCAGGGUAAGAAGUAAGCUCGCAGACGGAUUUAGCUAUCCUAUAGAGUGAUUCACACUGAGCAAGGAUAUGUGUUCAUUUAAGCGAGAUGUCAAGACAGAUGGUGGUGAAGCCUAAUUGUAAAGGCUUGGCGCUGGUAGUUCCCUGAUCAUUGAAAACCUUAUAACCAUGAUGAAUGUAUUUCUAUACUACUUGGAGAGCCUUAGCCCCAACGGAUACAAGUGAGGUGGCAGUUGGGAAGUUACUGAAGCACUAGGUGUGAUCUCUGAGAGACAGUCAAGGCUCCACAUAGCCUAUGGUGCUGACGAUGACUUGGGCCUAAUCCUGACAGGACUUAAAGAGGAACUUGAGAAUUUAUUUUACAAUUACUAUAGGAUGAAGCCUCAUCCAUAGAUUCUAGUGAUCUCAUCGAAGGUAGAAAGCGAUGCCAAUCUUAAUUUAAUAACUACCUCUUCUAAUACUAGUAUUUUUGGUGGUGCAAGCAGAGCUCGCAGUUCAGGAAAUGACUCUGGGAAACUACUAGCAUUUUGUAAGAAAUUAACGAAGCUGUGGACCUGCGAGCUGCUUUGAGGGACCUACGCAAGAAGCAUAGGAACGAUGUGGGGUCUAUUAAUGUGGUUAUCAGUAGUAAGGAAGAGACAGAUAAUGGUAGGUUAGAGUUUCACCGCAAAAUGAAGACAGAUCAUGCUGGGCCUUCUGCUGUGACGAUCACUACUCCUUCCUGUUUCCCUCUCAUCGAACCCACAAAUUGUAGCUCACGAAAGUUCUCCUAUUGCGGUUUGUGAUGGUUCUCCUCUUUCGUAUGUCUAUCAUUCCCCUCCACCUCAUAUUGAGGAACCAUCUGCUGAAAAUGAGGGUGAGCUAGCUCAAGUUUUAGCGCGAGGGACUUCUGAGGUAUGGUUAAAAAUUGGAAAGUCUUUGUGCCAAAAUCUGCAAAAACUAAGGUCUGUGUUGGUGGAUUAUUUGGGAGUUCGUAGAAUUCUACACUAUUAAAACUCAGUUCCUCUCUACAAGCUCUAUUGGCUGAGGCCUCUGUGAUCAGUUUGGGCCUUGAUUCCAAUGUUGUUGGGGAAGAGGCUAAUCAGAAAGAGCUUGAAGCAAAAUUUAAGAGCACUCACGAGUGAGACCAGUAUAUGAUGAAUGAAAAUGAAGUGCUCUAUAAACAAAAUGAAGAGCUUACUGAGAGACUGGGGGUUGAACAGAUAAGAAAUGACGAAUAAUCUGAUGAGGUCGCAGCUGAAAGAGAAAGACGUAGGGUCCUGAAUAAUAAGUUAAAAGGAAGUGUUGAGGAGUAUAAGGCAGCUGUGAGCCGAAUCAUUGUAGAGCAUGAGGCUGCAACGGUGAGCUUAAAGUUAAAACAGGAAAAAACCUUUGAAAAAUUUAAAAAUGAGUCUCUAGAAAUGUUAGAUAGUCUCACUGCUGAGCUUAAGUCUAAUAUUUUUCUGCAUGGUCAUGUUGCUGCUGGGCCUUUUGAUGUUUGCAAAGUUGACUUUGAUGCUCUCUACGAGGUAGAUAUACGCCAACUUGGUUUUGAUGUUUAGUUCCCUUCGAGAGCUGCUUGGGAUGAGUUCGUGUAACGCUAGGGUUUGUGCAAGUGUACAUAGUCGUUAUCAAGUAAUAAGUAAGUAUCGAGUUAUCGUGUCCACAGGGAUUGUAUUUGUGCUAAGUCACUUAAUUUGUAAAAUUAUAUUAACUAUUUGAUAAAUAAAAACACAAUAUAGUUGAGAAGUGGUGAUUAAAAUAUAUUAAACUAAAUGCAAUUAUCCCUAAUGCAAAUUAUCCUAAGUAUGCAAAAUAUAUGAAUGAAAUAGAUUUUAGUAAAAUUAAACACAAUUUGCAACAAUUAUAACAUAAAUAAACUAGGAUAAUUACCUUAAUUAAACUCAAUUUAUUAUCAACAUGCUUAAUAACAUUCGAAAAAACAUUUCAUGGCAACUGGAUUUUUCAUGAGUUUGGAAACCACAUUAGGUCCUUUCGGAAUCCUUUACUUAGUAAAUACGUAUUUUACUGAUCCUUAUUUACUAAGGGUUUCUUACCAUUCAUUUGAGGUAACAGGGACGUGUUAGGUUUGAAACAAUUUAAUCACACAAAUCUAAAAACUAUGCAGAUAACAGAGCUUGGUUAAAGUUGUUAUGCAAUCUACAAUUCAAUCGGGUUAGGAUCUAAAUUGAGCAUUUACAUUUCAAUUAUGUGUCAAUUAGUCGUCGUCUGGUUAGGAUCGCUCAGCUAAUUCAGGUGCAUUUCAAUCACGUAUGAAUGAAAUACAGACUUGAUUUUAAUUGAAAACAUGAUCGAUUGAGGCACAAACAUUAUAAGCAUGAAUCAAAUAAAUAUUAUUAAAUCAAAAUAAUCAUCCUAGCUUAAAUAAAAUUAAGCUAUCAUUGUUGUAAACAAGAACAAAUAACACAUAGCAAACAUCUUUAAAUUAAAUUUAAAGAAAAGAAAGAUUAAACCCAAUUCAGAGUGGCUGUCACCCAAGACUCUGACUGACGAGGCUCAUUUGCUUCUUUGCGUUGCUCAUUUGCUGAUGGGUCUCCAAGGUGGCCGACUAAGGGUUCUUUAAGAGGCUGAAUUGCUAAAAUCCUUAUGCAAGGAUGAUGAAUGGGAAAGAUAGCUAAAAGAGUUGAGAGAAUGAUGAAUGAGUGAGAGAUGAUGGGAUGAGGGAUGAUUGAAAAAGUGAGAAAUGAGCUCUUAUCUAUAGGUGAGGCAAGGGAGCUAGUUUGCUAAAAAUAGGAGUGCCCAUCCUUUGAAGCUUUCUCCAAGAGUGGCCGGCCAUGAAUUUAGGAAAUGUGGCUGAUUUUUCCUUGGUUUUUGGUCAAUUUGAGUGCCACAACAACUCAGGACUAAGACUCGGCCAUUAGCAAAUCUUCAAGAAAAUCUCUAAUUUCUUUAACUCUUCAAGGACUUUGUAUAAUUAAACCAAAAAAUAGUUUAUGACAUCCAUAUGCAGCCGAAAAUUGGGUUGACUUGGUCCCCAAUUUGGACGGUUUUGUAAAUAGAAGAAAACUCUCAGACCUGUCCAAAAAUAGUAGAUAGUUUAGAGGACCAAAUAAUAUAAUUUAACCACUUUAAUUAAUCAAUUUAAUUAAUUAAUUAACACCUAAUUUAUUAAUUAAUUAUUAAAAAUGAAUUAUUAAAUAUAACUUUAUAUUUUAUUAUUUAAUUUAAUCAUGCAUGACCCACUUUAUAGCUUAAAAAUAUAAUAUGCUCAAAUUAAUAUAAACUAAGCCAUUUUAUGCAUGAAAACUAUAUAAUAAAGUAUAAAAUCACAUUUUAAUAAUUUUUAUGUCCUAAUUUCAUAUUUUCGUAUAUUUUAUUAAUUUAUUAAACAAUUAUUUGGUUUUAACAACAAAUUUAAAUAAAAAGGUGAUGAAUUAUAUAGGAAAUCCUAUAUAUUUUUCAGUUUACAAUUCGCGUCCAAGUGGAAGAACUCAAAGGAUUUUUACCGUGAUGAAGGUCCCUCUAAGCCCAUCGCUGUGCCUACCAAUGACAAUACCACUGUUGGCCCUAUUGAAAAUGUUGAAGUUGAGGAGAGGGAAGCUGAGAUCAUCAAGAAUCUUGGGUUGGAAGAGAAUACCCCUUAAUUUUUUGUCAACAUGUAUUACUCUUUUAUGACUUGGAUAAGAAAAUUUUAAAGUUUGAAGUAUUUGAAAUUUACUUAUUGAUAUUAUGGCAUUCUACUUUACUGCGAACCCGAGUAAAUUCUUAAUUCAAUCAAACUUUAGCCUUAAGCAUGUUUUGAUCUUAAAGAAAUAUUAAGCCUAGUCGAAUCUUGAACUUAAGCAUAUUUGGUACUUGAGUAAAUUCUGAACUCAGGUAAAUUUUGAAUUAUCUUCUCCAAAAUUCGCAAGCAAUUUAGGGUGAUUUGAGUCACCAACUUGAUUAGAGCUGCAAACUCAACUAUUCGAGCUCAUAGAAUAUCAGCUGAGAGCGUAUGCUUGCGCUAACUAUUUUUGGAAGUUACGGUAUUAAACCUAUGAGCCUUAAGAUAUUUAGCUGAGAGCGUAGGCUCGCGCUAAUUUUUUUGGAGGCUACGGUAUUAAACUUGCGAGCCUUAAAAUAUUCAGCUGCGAGAGUAGGCUCGCGCUAACUAUUUUGGAGGUUACGGGGUUGAGCUCUUAAGCCUUAAGAUAUUUAGAUAGAAGUGUAGGCUCGCGCUAACUAUUUUGGAGGCUACAGUAUUGAAUCUACGAGCCUUAAGAUAUUUUGCUGAGAGCGUAGGCUUGUGCUAACUAUUUUGGAGGCUGCAGUAUUGAACCUAUGAGCCUUAAGAUAUUUCCAAGUACAAGUGUUUAUAUAGAAAGUACUUUUAUUCAAAAAAUGAAAAUUUACACAUAAUACUUUUGAGGUGGUGAGCAUUCUAUGUUCAUUGUAGAAUUGUUCCCUCCAUCCUUGCUAGUUUGUAUGCUCUGUAACCAAUCUUUUGUAUGACCUUUAAUGACCCUUUCCAAUUUGGAUCCAUUUUUCCUUACUGCGAAGCUAAAAAACUAACCUUAGUAUUUCUUAAGACAAGAUCACCUACUUGGAAUUGCUUUUUUUUUUUUACCUUGAAGUUGUAAUAUCGAGUUACUUGUUGAGCACACGUUGCAUUUUUUUACUUCUGCUACUUUCCUAAAUUCAUCAAUCAAAUCAAGAUUAAGCCUGGUGGCUUCCUGAUUGGCUUCUUCAUUAAAAUAUUGGGUUCUGUGCGAUCUCAUACCAAUCUCAGCGGGGAUUACAGCCUAUGCGCCAUAAAAAAGGGAAAAGGUGUUUCUCCUGUUGCAGUGUGGGGUGUAGUUCACAGAGCCCACAAGAUUCCAAGUGGCUCUUUCAACCUAUCACCCUUGGCCUCACCAACUUUCUUUUCUAGGGCCGUUAAAAUUUUCUUAUUCAUCGCUUCUACUUACCCAUUCAUUUGUGGUUUUUUUAAGUGAACUUGGAGCCAAAGCUAUUUCGAGGUUAGUACAGAAGUUUUUAAAUUUUCCCUAAAAUUGUGUACCAUUGUCUGUAAUGAUCAGAAGAGGUACCCCAAAUCCGUAAACAAUUGACUUCCAGAGGAAAGAUUCCAUCUGCCUUUCUGUGAUGGUUGCUAAAGCUUCAGCUCCAACCUAUUUGGUGAAGUAAUCCACAGCUACCACUAUAAACUUCUUCUGUGUCGUUGCUAUUGAAAACAAAACAAGGAUAUAUAUUCCCCAGGUUGUGAAUGGCCAGGGCUUGACAUAACCUGGAGAGGCUCCGCAGGUUGUCGCUGUACCUUGGUAUACCUCUAAGAAGAGUCACAUGUGUGAACCAACUGAUGUGCAUCCUUUUGAACUGCAAGCCAGUAAUACCCUUGUCUAAAGAUUUUCUGGCCAAGUAGCCUGCCUCCCAAAUGAUCACCUUAAAUAUGCUCACGAAUUUCCCACAUCACAUACCUAACCUCAGGUGGUGACAGACAUCGCAACAACAGAUGUGAGAAACUCUUUCUAUAUAGUACACCCUCUAAGAAGGUAUACCUAGCAAUUGUAGGACAAAAUAAAUCAUUUUAAUUUAUCAUGUAAUUGAAUGACUUAAUCAACUAUCUACACAGUGUACAUAUAUCUAACUCACUUAUCAAGAAGUUUUAGAUAUUUGCAGUUUACAUAAAUGACAUACCUCGCAAUUUGCUUAAUAGUUUUGCGAGCUCCUUUUUGUCUAUAUUUUCUUGUAUGCCCUGGAGUGUGCGAACUAUAGGAGUCAUCCUAGUCUCCUCCUAAUCUAUGCACAUCACUUGUGGCAUAUCAUAGCUCAGGGUAUCCCUAUACUCAAUCAAGGUUUUCCUCUUUUCUCAAUGACAACAAAGGAUGCUCACUUGGAUAGAGCAUCUCCAUGUGUGUUGUCACUUCUUGGGAGUUGCUUAAUCUGGACCUUACUAAAUCCUACGAGCAAUUGGGUUGCAAUUGUGUGAUAUCUUUUCAGCACUGCUCUUCUACAUCGUACUCACCGUUCAUUUUCUUAGCCACCAACUGUGAAUCUGUAUAGAUGAUCAGAUUCUUUACCCCAAUUGACUUGCUAACUGCAAUCUCGAUAUCAAGGCUUCAUACUCUGUAGUGUUUUUUGAUGUUUGAAACCCAAAAGGUAGUCCAUACUGCCACUCAUCGCCACUAGGAUAAAUUAGGAGUACACCUGCUCUUGAUCCUGUUUUAGCUACGGAGCCAUAAACAUAAACUAGCUAGCUUUCCGAACUAUUAGUUGCAUAUACACCCUUUUGAGGUGGGCUGAUUACUAUGUUGCGUGCAACAAGUGAAAAAAAAUCUUAGGGCACGUUUGGUUCGCUGUAUUGUAUUAGAGGUGUAAUGGGAUAGAGGUGUAAUAGCAAAUCAACUGUUUGGUUGAAUGUAAUGGAAUAGAGGCGUAAUAGUAAUCUUGUGUUUGGUUGAAUGGAAUAGAGGUGUAAUAGUAUAAUGGAAAAAACUAAAAUGACUAGAAUACCCUUAGCAUAAAUUUAUUUUGGUAAAUGAUUAUUGUUAUUGUUAUUUAAAUUUUAAUAAGAUUAUUAUUAUCAAUAAUAAAUAAUUUAAUCAUAUUUAAACAUAAUUAUUAUUAAAUAUAUUAUAAUUAAAAUAUAUAAUUUAAUAAAAUUCUUAAUAAUUAAUAUUCUUAUAUGAAUUUACUCAAAUCAUAAUAUAGAUAAUUUAACAUAAUUAUUAUUAAAUAUAUUAUAAUUAAAAUAUAUAAUUUAAUAAAAUUCUUAAUAAUUAAUAUUCUUACAUGAAUUUACUCAAAUCAUAAUAUAGAUAAUUUAACAUAAUUAUUAUUAAAUAUAUUAUAAUUAAAAUUAUAAUUUAAUAAAAUUCUUAAUAAUCAAUAUUCUUAUAUGAAUUUACUAAAAUCAUAAUAUAUGAUACUAUAAAAUAUAAUUUGAAAUAAUUAAUAUUAAAUAUAUUUUUAUUAAAAUAUAUGAUUUAAUAAAAUUUAAAAUAAUUAUACUUAAUAAAUUUUCUUAUAUGAAUUUGUAUAAUUUAAAAUAAUUAUUAUUAAAUAUAAUUUAAUAAUAAUAUAUAAUUUCAUAAAAUUCUUGAUAAUAAAUUUUCUUAUAUGAAUUUAUAUAAUUUAAAAUAAUUAAUAUUAAAUAUAAUUUAAUAAUGAUAUAUAAUUUCAUAAAAUUCUUGAUAAUAAAUUUUCUUAUAUGAAUAUAUAUAAUUUAAAAUAAUUAAUAUUAAAUAUAAUUUAAUAAUGAUAUAUAAUUUAUACAUUUAACCAGUGCCAAGCAUUAUGACCUUUAAGCAAUGUUGAACUUGAUCACCCAAAUUUUCACAAAUACUGCUAAUUACUUAAUUCAAACUGCAUUGUACAAAAUGUCGGUCAGAUCAUUUCAACCUUCCAGCUACCAACUAAUAUGUUUUCCAAUUUUCUAGCCCACCCAAACUUUACAAAAUGCUAGAUAGCAUAUUAGUCACAAUCAUAUUCACAUCACUAACUAUAUCCGAAAAUGAAUGACCCUGGGAAAAAUUACAAAUAUUACAUGGAUUUCAUUCAAUCAAUGUUGAUGUAGAAGCAUCCUUGCCCUAUGUUGAAGUUGAGUCAAUGACCUAAUACAAGUGCCCUCAUCGCAUGUCUUUAAGCGUGUAAGGCUGAUUAGUUCCCGAAUAAAAACUACAUGACUACUUUGCAUUGGCAACUUGUCUUC